rnacentral:lncRNA from 1 species
AGAGAGAGCGGUAAAUGUUUACAAAGAGGGCUGGAUAAUAACAAUUCUUUUUCUCUUUAUGCAUCAAACUUUAAUACCUCAUUUUUUAUGUCUUGCAAAUUUUUUAGGACCUCUCUCAUGUCCAUCCUCUGCUUUGGUGAUUGUAAUGAACAAGAAAGCCCAAUACCCAUAAUCUCCGCUACACAUGGAUGCAUUUCAUUUAGCCUCUCUGAUCCCAUGUUUGUGCCAACAACUUGUAACAAACUUGCAUCAAUAAUUUCCAUCACUUGAUGAGGAUAUGCUCUAUUCACAAAUUCACCAAGGUUUAUUCCAUUUGUAAACAUCUCAUCAGUUGGCUUCUUGCCUGUGAACAUCUUCAACAAGAUAAUGUUGAGGAGUGAUGUCUUGUAUUCUGCAGAAAUAGAUCUGUCAAGGUAUAGUCAAAAGGAUAACUCCGGAUGAUUAGAUAUAUAUUGUUGCGACUCGAUAUACAUUGUUGCGAUUCAAUAUAUAUCGUUGUGUUGGGGGAGAAUUAAAAGAAAUAUGCAGAUUUCGUUGUAAUCAAAGAGAACAGAUAGUCGUGAGGAAGAGAGCUAUUGUAACCCUAUUCUCUAUUGCUAGUAAAGAAACUCUCAUCUCCCAUUUACGUAGGCAUGUUGCCGAACCACGUAUAUCUUUGCAUUAUGGUGGUUGUCUCUUUCUUUUGUGUUUGUUUCUUCUUUCUUAUUUUCGUGGAUUGCUUUUCGUUUCUAUAAAAAAUCCCAAAACUAUAAACAUCUCCCUUGGUCGACGCAUUAAUACCGAAACCGUACUCUGCAAGAACAACAUUUACACUGAAGUAGUCAAGCACACUAAACAAAAUAAAGAAAAUAUGGAACAAUGAAAACUUGCCAUAAUGAUUAGAGGCGAAAUAAUCUCAGAUAGAAAACAUAACUUUGGUGUCAUUGAAAGCGAUGUUGUUGAUACCUGGAGGGAUGUAACCGUUUGAUCCCUUGAGUCCAAGCGUACUACUCUGAUGUUCCGAUGGAACAAUUGAAGAAAGGAUUCUCGCCAAGCCAAAGUCACCAACAUGUGCGGUCAUAUCUUCAUCCAGAAGAAUGUUACUAGGUUUCAGACCACAAUGCACAAUAAGUGAUGGACAAUUGUGAUGUAGAUAUUCCAUGGCAGAUGCUACAUCUAACGCUAUGCUUAAUCUUUGCAAGAGAUUCAAGUUCAAAUGGUGACUUUGGUUCUCUCUAGCCAUAAGCAAAGGAUUUGGUGGGUGGAGCCACUUGAACCACUUGUUCAAGCUUCCAUUGCACAUGAAUUCUAAUCUUAGAGCUUUGAACUCCUUACCUUGGAGACCACGAGUAAUGCAACAAGUGAUUAGCUUGACGAGGUUCCGGUGUCGGAUUCCACUCAGAGCUUUGCAUUCGGCUAUGAAACUUUGGGCUCAUGUAGCAAUAGUCUUCCUUGUUUGAUGGAUUAUAAAUUAAUAAAAAAAAUUUAGAGAAAUUUAUCAAAAUCUAGCUAAUUUUUCAAUGAUUAAACAGUACUAUAUUUCAACUAUUCGAACUUAUGGUUAUGUAUCUUCUCAUAGAUAUUUUGAAAUCAAAUAAAAAGUAUAUGUAAAAUAUUAAAUAGUUGAUCUCUUAUGUGUGUUUUAAUAAAUUUCCCAAAACUUUAUUACUUCGGAAUGGGACCUUCCAAUGAAUUCUUUGCCAUGCAAAUGCUUACAGGAAGGCCAAUGCUUGCAAGAAGGUAUGAAUGGUCAAAUGAAUCUGGAAUAAUUCCUAAAAGCUUGUUCUCGGAUAGGUCCAUUUCUAAAAGUUGGAUGGCAAGCAGCGAAGCGGGUAUGGUCCCAUUAAUCAUGUUUUGGGAGAGGUCCAAGUAAGAAAGACGGGAACAAUUUCCUAAACUCGAUGGAAUUCCACCAUAUAAUUUGUUCCCUGAGAAAUCUAAAUAUUCCAAAAGAUGAAUUUGACCCAUUGUUGAGGCAAUGCUUCCACUUAAGUAGUUGUGAUCCAAUUAUAAGUACCUCAAGUUCACAAGCUUUCCAAUCUCUGGUGGAAUGCGUCCAACUACACUAUUAUGAGAUGCAUCCAAAUAACUAAAUGACAACGUGUUGUAAAUGGAGGGAUGGAUGCUACCAUUUAAAUUAUUACCACUGAGCUGCAAAAUCUGAAGUCUCUUUAAAUGGCUCAACUUUUUGGGUAUGUCCCCAGUUAGAGAGUUAUCAGAUAGGUCGAGCCAUUUUAGAGCUGAAAGGUUUCCAAGAGAAGGUGCGAUGUUUCCUUCUAAACUAAUAGCUGUAAGAUAGAGACUUUCUAGGUUUCCAUGGGUCAGGCUCCAUUCAUCUUUGUUUCCUUGCAUCUUCAGAUUUACAAGACUAGUGCACUUUCCCAAACUCGAUGGGAUUCUACCAGACAAAAUAUUCCAUGACAAAACCCAAGUGUUUUAAGCGCUGCAGUCGUCCAAUUGCUGCGGGAAUAUUCCCACAUAAGGUGCUGACUAUCAAAUCCAAGUGUUCCAAGCUCACAAGGUUUCCGAUUUCGAAUGGGAUGCCCUUCAAUGACCUUUGAGCUCAGGUCAAGACUCUGAGAGAGAGAGAGAGAGAGAGAGGUGUACAUGUUUAUACAGUGGGGUGCUUAACAAGAGGUACAAUAUUUGAGCAGCUGUGCUAUUUGCAUAGUAGUCCUCUCUCUCUUUUGCAUCAAACUUUAAAAACUUAUUUUUUAUGUCCUGCAAAUUUUUUAAGACAACUCUCAUGUCCAUUGUCUCCUUUGGUGAUUGCAAUGAACAAGAAAGCCCAAUACCCAGGAUGGCCACUAAACAUGGUUGCAUUUCAUUUAGCCUCCCUAAUCCCAUGUUUGUACCACCAACUUCUAACAAUCUUUUAUCAACAAUUUCCAUCACGCGAUGAGGAUAUGCUCUCUUCACAAAGAUUUGUUCCAUUUGUAAACAUAUCAUCAGUGGGCUUCUUUCCGGUGAACACCUCCAACAAUAGAAUCUCAAAGCUACAGACAAAUAAACUAUAGAACAAUAAAAACUUGUAAGUAUAAUGUUAUGCACAAUAAUCUUAGACGGAAAACAUAGCUUUGGUGACAUUGAAAGCAAUGUCGUUAACAAGGUCUAGAAACUCGUCUUGGCCAAGGAACUUGGGCCUCCGCUGAGGCGAGUGACUCGGACGAGUCCGAGUACUCAGACUGGAAUCUUGCACUGGGGGACAAAAGCCCUAGAUAAAUUUAAAAAAAUGAAAAAUAAAAUAAAGGUAGGAAAAGAAAAAGAAAACGAAAAGCAACCUAAAAAUUGCAAAAUAAUCUUAAAAACUAAUGAAAAACAGAUUUAAAACAAAUUGAUUUCUAGUUGCGGAUAUCAUAAAAAAUCCAAAAAAAAAAAACAAAAAAAAUUGGGAUUAUGGCAAAACAUACUCAAUAAUCUUUGAAAAAAAAUCCAAAUCAUAUACAAAAACUUUACAUAACGUUCCUAUAUUUUUCAAUUUUUUGUAUUUUUCAAUAUGUCCCGCGUUGUACACAUAAUUUGGGGUAACUCGUCAUUGCCCAUAGUGCAAGGCCAAGUUACUCGCUUGAGUCCAAGUGGACUCAAGUGAGUCUUGUAGCACUGGUCGUUGAUACCUGCAAGGAUGUAACCGAUUGAUCCUUUGAGUCCAAGUAUGCUACUUUGGUGUUCUUAUGGAACAACUGGAGAAAGGAUUCUAGAUAGGCCAAAGUCACUGACAGGUGCAGUCAUGUCUUCAUCAAGAAGAAUAUUACAAGGCUUCAGAUCACAAUGCACAAUAGUUGUAAGACAAUCAUGAUGUAGAUAUUCCACAUCACAUGCUACAUCGAUCGUAACUCUCAGUCUUUCCAAGAAGUUCAAGUUCAAAUGGCGAUUUUAAUCCUCGUUGGCCAUAACCAAAGGACUUGGUGGGUGGAGCCACUUGUUCAAGCCUCCAUUGCCCAUUUAUUCUAAGAUAAGGGCUUUGAAGUCAUUACCUUGGACUCCAUGGGUAAUACAACAGGUGACAAGCUUGACAAGGUUAUGAUGUCGAAUUCCACUGAGAGCUUCGCAUUCAGCUGUGAAAUUCUUGAAAUCUCUAUGAUGUCUUAGGUGGAGUACCUUUACUGCAACAACAAUUCCAUCGCUAAGAGUUUCCUUGUAAACUAAGUCAAAGCUGCCAAAACCGAUCAAAUUUGUUGAAUCAAAACCGUUGGUGGCGAGGAGUUCUUGGUAAGAGAGUUUUUUAUAUUCUCUUUUUAAAGGCGAGAAGAAAGGAAAAUUGGUUUCUAGUAUCUCUCUUCGAAUCAAUAUGAAAGUUGCCUCAAAUAUAAUUGCUAAGGCAAUCAUGAUAAUACCUAGAAUGAUUACUUCAUGAGAAGAAUGGAGGGGGCAAGCCGUAAAGUUCAUGAUCCUUGGACCCCCACAGAGCUUGUUGUUUCCUCAAAGAUCAAGUGAAAUAAUACUCAAGAAUAUCCCUUAUUUUGGUAUCUCUCCUUCGAAUUCAUUGAACGAUAGAUUUAAGUUUUUUAGAUUCUGAAAGUAUUGUAGAUAUUUUGGUAUCUUUCCCUAGAGGUGAUUCCUAGAUAUUCCAGGUUAUAAUAUAAUUUUGGAAUUGGCCCUCGCAAUUAUUAUAAGAAAGAUCCAAAACCACUAGAACUCCAAUGUUACCUAUUGACUUUGGAAUGGGACCUUCCAAUGAAUUCCUGGCCAUGCGAAUGCUUGCAAAAAGGUAUGAAUCAUUAAAUGAAUCUGAAAUAAUUCUUGAAAGCUUGUUCUCUGAUAGGUUAACUUGAAGCAAUUAUGGUUCCAUUAAUCAUGUUUUGGGAGAGGUCCAAGUAAGAAAGAUGGGAACAAUAUCCUAAACUUGAUGGAAUUCCACCAUAAAAUUUGUUUUCUGAUAAAUCUAGAGUUUCCAAAAGAUGAAGUUGCCCCAUUGUUGAAGGGAUGCUUCCACUUAAGUAGUUGCCAUACAAAUUUAAGUAUUUCAAAAUCACAAGCUUUCCAAUCUCGGGCAGAAUGCUUCCAACUAAACUGUUAUCUGAUGCAACCUAAGUCUCUAAUGACGACAUGUUGUAAAUGAAAGUAGGAAUACUACCAUUUAAAUUAUUUCCACUAAGCCACAAACCCUUAAGUUUCUUCAAAUGGCUCAACUCUUUUGGAAUGACCCAUGUUAGGGAGUUAUCAGAUAGGCUGAGGUAGUUUAGAGCUGAGAGGUUUCCAAGAAAAGGUGGGAUGCUUCCUGUUAAAUUAAUACCUGAAAGACAAGUUGUUAUAGGUUUGACAAGUUACCUAUUUCUGGGUGUAAAGCUCCAAUAGUCUUGUUUCUGUAGAUGUUGAAAUAUAUAAAACUUGUGCAAUUUCCCAAACUCAAAGGAAUUUUACCAGACAAAGAGUUCAAUGACAGAUCCAAGUCUUUCAAGUGCCGUAGACGUCCAAUUGCUGCAGGAAAAUUCUCACCUAAGUUGUUGCUUCUCAACUUUAAAUAUUACAAGUUAACAACGCUCGCAAUCCAUGGCGGAAUGAUCCCUGACAAAGAGUUAUUACAGAGAUCAAGGUAUAUGAGACUCGUACAGUUUUCGAAGCUCAUUGGGAUUUAACCAAAAAGAUUGUUGUAUGAUAUAUGCAGCACCUGCAGGUCUUGAAGUUUCCCAAUUGUGGGCAGAACACUUCCAUCUAAGUUGUUGCCAGACAGGUCCAUUUCUAUUAACUUACGUAAGUUUCCAACUGCGAAUGGAAUGCUUCCUUCAAUGGCAUUUCGGUGCAGGUUGAGAUGCUUCAAGAGAGAUAAGUGUCCAAUCUCCCUAGGGAUGUUGCCAAGGAAAUUGUUAUCAUAAAGGUUGAGGGAGGUGAGCGAGGAGAGACCACCAAUGUGAGGACUAAUGCUGCCAACCAAGAAAUAAGUAAUAAGAUCCAGUUCUGCUACUCUCUCCUUUUGCUGGUCGCUUGUAACUCCUUGCCAAUCGCACACAGGAACAUUUGCAUUCCAAGAGUCCAACUUCCCAUUAUGAUCUAUGACCUCUCUCUUAAACCGGUAGAGAGAGAAUUGAUCAGUUAAAAGAUUGAAGGUGGUGGCUUGUGACUCCACAGAAAGAGCUUCCAUGCAACACAGAGUGAGCAUGGCCAUACCAAAGACACCCUGUGAACUAAGCAAAGAGGCAAACUCCAUGACCUCUUGUAAUUUAUUAUGUGUUUUAGGUAGGUGAGAAUGGGUACGUAAGAAAUGUUGAUCUAAAUUGCCUAGGCUGACAAUCUAUACAAUGUGAUAUUUGCAUUAAGAAAGUAUGUGCAAUGAAAUUGACCUUCCAUAAUUGACUCACAAAUUUUGAAACAGGGUAUGGGUUUUCUUUCAAAAUUUUAGGUAUGUUUGUCUUUAUGGAGGUUUCCAGUCCUUGACCUCCCUCACCCAUCAUAAAAGCCAAUAUCUAAUGUUCAUUAAAUAUUCCUGGGAAAUACUUGCUUCCAUUACCAAUGGUUUUAAAUUGCUCUAAAGAGACAAUACACUAUACACAGAGCAUUUUGGCCCAUGGUUAUAAGUUGUUUGGAAUGGAGACACAUACCAGACACAACCGUGUAUAAGAGAGUCUAGACCAUCAUUUGUCAACCAACCCAUCAAAAUUAGUUGGAUAGGUGGUGUAUCUUUUAAACUCCUUACUCCUUUUCAGUGUUGAUAACCCAGUAGUGCAUGAGUUUCCAUGCACACAUAGUCCAUUGCAAAUAUGAUUUUCUUUGGCCAAAAGAUGAGUUAGAUUCAAACCCUUUAUGGACACUUUGAAUGUUCUGAUUUAACAUUCUAUUAGUAACUGGUGACCAAGUUGGCUAUGGAGUUCGAGUUGUAUAACUUGGACAAUUUUUGUAAUCCUCAAUGAAUUUAUGAAAGAAUCCUAGGCCUUAAAUAAAUUCAAGUACAAUUUUAGAUAAACAUUGUCCAAGGUUUCUAAGAAGCUAAAACUUCCAAUGGAACGUAACCAAACUGGUAUAUUACACAUAUUUUGAGCUGGUAUGAUCAAUCCCACAAGGUUUAUGUCCCAUGUUGACUGACUCCUGGUGAGUAUUCUAAGAGGACCAUCAUCUGUUCUACAAUCAAAAGAGAAAAUGGGCCUAGCCUCUGCACUGCCAUCAUCUCCUAGUGUUACCGUUACCGUUACCGCCAUGUUUGCUGGCUACUUCAUGAAAAUUAUUGUUUUACAGACAUAGCAUGCAUUCAAUAAGUCAACAGACGAACUCUCUACCAAUUUAAGAGAGAGGUUGAUCCUCUUGGAGCCACAUGGAUUGCCAGUGCUCCGUUGUGCGAUUGGUGAGGAGUUACUUGUGACCAAAAGAAAGCGCGACUCAUAAAUUUGGAACUCGUUGGACUCAUUUUUCAAGGCAGCAUCCGUCCUCACUAAUCUCUCAUCUCUAAUCACUCUUGACCUUAGAGAUAACUCUCUUCAUGGAAACAUUCUAGAAGAGAUUGAUCAAUUAUCUCUCUUAAAGAAACUCAAUCUGAGUCAGAACAAGAUUACUAAAUUUCCUUCCAAUAUCACUAGAUGUUCUCUUCUUGAAUUCCUUGACUUGUCUUGGAACGGUAUUUUCUAUGGAAGCCUUCCUUACGAACCCAGACAAUUAUUGUACCUAAAAUGUAUGUCUCUUUGCCGUAAUCGAUUCGUUCGACCCAUCUUACCUUCUUUUGGAAACCUUUUAUCUCUGAUGGCCCUCAGCUUGGCCAACAAUGCACUACAAGAUACAAAACUGAGUUAGGCUAUUUGAUAAAACUGGAGAGUUUGUACCUUGAUGGAAACAACUUAAGUGGUAGUAUCCCAACAGAAAUCAAAUGAUUUCAAUAGCUAGAAUGGUUAGGUUUGUCAGCCAACUUAUUUUCUGGCAAAGUCCCUUCAAGUUUAAGAAAUUGUUAAUAUCUUCUUCACCAUGAGGUCUCCAAAAAAAGGAUAUAAAUGGGACCAUACCGGCACCAAUUUUUACAUUGGCAUUGAAUUUUAUUGACCACUCUGAUAAGAAGUCAUCCGGAAAUGUUCCUAUAAAGUUUCCAAACUAGUUAUAAUAUUUCGCAUGGCUAGAAACUCAUUAAAUGGUAGAAUCCCAUCACUACGUAGGCUGGAGCAUGUUGACGUUUGGACCUCCCUGGUGCAAGGACAGAUUCCAAAGACAUUUGUGAAUCUUACAUCAAUAGUAGCAAUUAAUCUGUCUGACAGUCACUUGUCUGGAGAAUUUCUAGAGAAUCUGAAAUACCUUAUGAGUUUGAGAUGCUUAGAUCUUUCUUACAAUGAACUGGAAGGAGAGGUUCCAGAUGAUGAAAUAUGCAAUCUUCUUUCUCCUCAUGAUCUCCAACUCAAAUGAAACAAAAUGGUUUGUAGUGGUCAAAGUAGUCGCUCAUGAAGAACAUAGCCACAAAGCAAUGAAAACAGCAAUCCUCACCAUAAGUUUGCUAAUUGUAAAGAUUCUAUUGUGUGCAACUUUAGUAGUGUUGCAAAGAAAGAGAUUGAGAAGGGGCCUCCAUUCCAGUCCGCAGCUAAAUAGGGAAUACAUAAAGAUCUCAUAUGAAGAGCUCUUUGUCGCAACCGAUGGUUCAAUAAAGACAAUCUAAUAGGUUUUGGUACCUUUGGUUCAGUGUACAAGGGAACCCUCAGUGAUGGAGUCAUCCUUGCUGUUAAGGUCGUCCACAUAAAAUGCUGAAGAGAUCUCAAGAGUUUUGCAGCAGAGUAUAGAGCUCUUAGUAGCAUUCGACACAUGAAUUUGGUAAAGCUAAUCACUUGUUGCUCAAGCCGUAGUCUCCAAGGCAAUGAGUUCAAAGCCCUAGUAUUUGAAUUCAUGCCUGCUCCACCCACCAACUCAUUUAGCUAUGGUUGGUAAAAAUUAAAACCACCAUUUCAACUUAAAUCUCCUACAAAGGAUGAGCAUGGCAAUCAAAGUAGCCUAUGCAAUAGAUUACAAACAUCAUGAAUGCCCAACGACAAUAGUGCAUUGCAAUCUAAAACGAAGUAACAUUCUUCUAAAUGAUGGAAAUCCUUGCACAUGUGAGCAAUUUUGGCUUGGCAAGAAUCCUUUCUCCCAUGACUACACUGGAAAAUCAAAGUAGCGCAUUUGGGCUCAAAGGAUCCAUAGGAUGCAUACCUCCAGGUAAUAACCACAUAGCAUUCGAUAUCAAGUUCUACUUUGGAAAGAAUUAUUCUAUAUGAAGUGUCCUUUUUAUACUUACUAUUAUUUUCAAUAAGGAGUAAAUCAAAGAUAUCGCUGUUAAUGUAGAGUAUGGUUUUGGAGUUAAAGCAACAAGAUAGGGAUAUGUUUAUAGCUUUGGUAUUCUACUGUUAGAUAUGUUCAUAGGAUAGAGAGCAACUAAUAAUAUGCUUCCAAAUGGCUUGAACCUUGAUGAGUUUACGAGCAAGGCUUAUCCCGAUCGAAUGAUGGAAGUUGCUGAUAAGAGGCACUUUGAAGAAGGUGGAGCAAACAGGGUAUGGGCGUGGCAAAAUGGGGUGCAAACAAGAUUGCUGGCCAUUAUGGGCAUCAGAUUGUUCUGUUCUAUGAAGUCACUAAGAUAUUGAACCAAUAUGAGAGGGAUCUUGAAGAAUAAGCAGGAUAUCAAGAACUCGAUUUUGAACUUACAUUAAGCCAUGCAGAGAAUAUGUAACCUUCCAGUUAGCUCAAGCCCCAUACCUCUUGUUACUCACACCUGUUUUUGAGACAUCAAGAACUCGAUUUUUACGCAAUGCAGAAGGAACAAUAUGACAUCUUCCAGGCAGCGCAGGCCCUAUACCUCUUGUUAGUCACCCCUGUUUUUGAGGUAUCAAGAACUUGAUUUUUAAUGCAACGCAGAGAGGGCAAUAUGUAAUCUUACAGGCACAACACAGAGGGAGUAAUAUGUAAUCCUCCAGGCAGCUCAAGCCCCAUAAUUAUUGUUAGUCAUCCCUGUUUGAGAGAAAUCUCUCACUCUCUCCAUGUAUGUGUGUCAAUAUAAUUGCUAAAACUAGGAAUUUGACACCUCCCCUGCAGAAAAUACAUUAAACUUCCCAUUAACCUCAAUCCAACUCAAUCCAGGCCUCUUCUUUGCUCCUUUUCUCCUCAUCCUUUCUCUUAUCUCUCCAGCCUCUCCCCAUCUCUCCUUAGCCCUAUACACAUUUGACAUCAACACAUAAUGCCCAUAAUUCUCAGGCUCUAAAACUUUUAGCUUAUCAGCUGCUCUCUCUGCAACUUCAACAACUCCAUGAGAAACACUCGAACCCAAUAGAGAACCCCAAGCACCUGAACUAGCCUCAUUGGGAAUCUUCCUUAAAAGUCUCUCAGCUUCUUCUAGUUCACCAGCUCGACAAAGAACAUCGACCAUACAAGCACAGUUCUCUGAAGUGGGUUUAAUUUGGUAGGCUCGGAUCAUUCGAGAAAAACAUUGCCAACUUUCCCUUACUAGACCCGAGUGACUACAAGCAAGCAAAACACAAGAAACUGUAAUGUGGUUUGGUCUUAGGCCUUCUAGUUCGAGUUGAGAGAAAAGAGAGAGAGCUUCUCUGCCCUUCCCAUGAACACCAUAACCCACUAUAAGAGCAUUCCAAGAAGGUAAGUGUUUAACAGUCAGAGAUAUAAAAACAGAGCACGCACUGACAAUGCAUCCACAUUUUGCAUACAUAUCUAUGAGAGAAGUUCCAAGAACAGAGUCCAUUCUUGAGAUAGUUUUAACAACAUGAGCAUGGAGAGCACGACCAUGCUCCAUAGCUGAUGAGUAUGAGCACCCAAAGAGAAGGCUGGCCAUGGUGAAGGAGUUAGGAGAGAAGCAUUCCAUUUGCAUUUCACGAAAUAAUCGAAAAGCUUCUCUCACUUCCCCCUUCUGGACAUACCCAUCAAUCAUAACAUUCCAAGUGACUUCAUCUCUUUCUAGAAGCUGAUCAAACAAACUUCUAGAGAUGCCAAUUUCUUCAACGCUGCAGUAAAUCAAUAAGAGGGAAUUGAUAAGGAUCAUGUCAGAUUUGAUUUCUCUUCUAAGUAUGUAUCCAUGGAUUUGCUUCCCUUUUUCAAAAGACCCAAUUUCUACACAUGCUUGUAUAAUGGCAGAAAGAGUUACAUGGUUUGGCUCCACGCCCUCAAUUAUCAUCUUGUUAAAAACAUUUAACGCACCCUCAUAGAGAUUGUUAUUUACAUAACCUGAAACCAUGGAAUUCCAGGAAACCAAGUCUUUCAAAGUCAUCUCUUUGAACAUUUUCCAUGCAUUACCCAUGUCUCCCCUCCUAGAAUACAUAGUUAAUAGUGAAUUGUUCACAAAACAGUCAGAUCCCAGUCCACUCUUGGUCACAAAUCCAUGAAUAACUCUACUGUCCAAACCAAGUUUCCCCAAGUUAGAAUCUUCAAAAAUUAACUUCACAAGAACACCAGAAUUAGGAUUUAGUCUGGCUAAUAUCUUAAUGGCUCGCUCCUCCAAUCCCUUCCGUGAAAAUGACAGAAUAAUGUCAGCCCAUGAAUUUAUCCCUUGUUGACACAUGCCACUAAAGUAAAGGCAAGCAAGUUCUAAGCUUUCACAGUUUAUAUACAUAGCCAAAAUAGAGUUUGAAACUAAGGAGUCAGAGCUCAUACCACUGAUAAUGGCAUAGCCAUGAAAGCCCAAACCUUGUUGGAGAAACUCUUUGGAGUUACAGGUUGAUAUAACAGAGGCAAGUAUAACUACACCAGGCCUAGCUCCUUCUAACCUCAUAUCCUGAAACAAACUCCAUGAUUUGCUUAAAUCACCAGCACGAAUAUAGCAGGUAACAAUGGCGGUCCAAAUUGAGAGGUUUCUAUAACUAAUUCUAUCAAACAGCUGGUGUGCAGCUGCUACGAAUCCAAAUUUAGCAUACAUUUCAACAAGAUAGCAUAAUAUUAAUCCAUCUCUAUCUAAUUUAGCUUCAACUAUCUCGACAUGAAUCCUUUUACCCAAUUCCAAUUCCCCAAGCUGAGUACAGGCCUUAAUAAGAAAUGGGUAAGUAAACUUAUCUGGUUUUAGGCCCAAGUAGAGCAUUUCAUGGUAUAGUCUGAGAGAAGCUUCGAAGAGGCCAUUAAUGGCGUUGCCUCUUAUGAUUGAAUUAUACAAUAACACAUUCUUCUCGAAUCUCUGGUCAAAUACAAGCUGUGCUGACGUUAUGUUACAAGUAUCAGAAUACAUGGUUAUGAGUUUUUGGGAAAGAAAGAGGCUCUUUUCGAGCCCUUUUCUGAUCAAAUGGGCGUGAAACUCCAUCACUGAACUUGGGCUUUUCAGGAUUCGAUUGCAGAGGGCGUUCAAAGAAGCCAUGGCGAUGAACUUUUAAUAGAAAUGACGGUUUUGAUAUUGUUAAUGGACAUGGAUUUGGCUUGGGUUCCAUGGAAAAUCUCUAGAGCUACAUAUCAUUCACAUCUUUAUUAGAGUGUGGAUCAUGGACCUCUGUAAAUUUGGAUCCAAGAUCUAUAUCAAGAGUGGGUGUUAGAGGGAGCCCGCACGAGAAUAGUAUGAGUUUGGGGACCCAUAAAAACCGACUCCUGAAAAAAAAACAAAAAGGUAAAAGUUUAUAGAGGCUUUAAACGAUCAAAUUAGAGCCUACCUCAAAAACUUCAUUAAAAGAGGUUGUUUUGAUACCCAAACAUCCUUAAAUUGAUCAUCUUGACAUCAAGAUGCAUGGACAUGAAGAAAAAAAUAGAUUUCAAAUAGUAUAUUUUAUAACGUAUUUUUGAACUGUCAGUUUUCAUGAUUUUCAAGUUUUCAUAGAUCUCUCAAUCUAUACUAUUUUUUAAGCUUUAAACUUUAUAAAUAAAAAUAAAAAUAUAUUUUAAGGCUAUCAAAAAGAUUUCCGAUAUUGAAACCACAUUUCUCAAUAUUAUUUGAAGGUAGGCUCUAUACAAACCACACAAACUUAUUUAGAUGGGGGACUCAUGGAAAAGAUAAAAAUUUAUUUAAAAGGAAAAGUUUAUAUAGAUCCGAGGCUCUAAACAAUCAAAUUAGAGCCUACAUAAAAAAAAAAUUACUAGAAGGUUGUUUUGAUACCCUAAUAUCUUCAAAUUGAUUAUCUCGACAUCAAGAUGCAUGGACAUAAUAAAAAAAAUGGAUUUCAAGUUCUGGAAAUAGGGUAUUUUGUAAUGCAUUUUUUAACUUUCAAUUUUCAAGAUUUUCAAGUGUUCAUAGAUCUGUUGAUCUAAACUAUUUUUUAAGCUUUAAUUUUAUAAAUAACAAUGAAAAUAUAUUUUAAGACAAUUACAAAGAUUUUCAGUAUUGAACCCAAAUUUCUCGACGCUAUUUGAAGGCAGGCUUUAAUUUGAUUGUGAGCCUAGGCUCUAUACAAACCGCACCCUUAUUUAAAUGAUGGGCUUGGUGCCUCAUCCAUUUUAAAUUAAAAUAUAACUCUUCUAUAUAAUUAUAAUUCCAAAUAAACCCUUAAGUCCAUAAAAAACCUAGGGAAUCUUCCAAGUAAAAGAAAAGUUUGUUUAGAAUAUACUUAUCUCUAUCGUGUGAAUGGAUGGUUGGGAUGGCCGUGACAAUGUCAGUAGUCAGAUUCUUAGCACAUAAUUUUGAUUGGACGACUCAUAGUAUUUUAUUUCUUUAUAAUUUAUUUUUAUAGUGAAUUUUGGAGUAUGCAGUCCUCUCAUGGAAGUGUGCACAUGAUAAAAAAUGAGAAAAAAAAGAUUUUUUGAUGAAAAAAAAGAUUUUUUGAUGAAAAAAAAGAUUUUUUGAUGAAAAAUGACCAAAAUACCUUUGAAAGUUGCAAGAGUAUUUUUUUGUCAUUUUUACCCAAAAAAAACUUAUUUGGAGCUUGUAAGGGUAUUUUGGUUAUUUUUACCAAAAAACUAUCUAUACAUUUUAUUUUUGCUAGGUGCUCACCAAUAAAGUAUAAACAUGCCACAAAUUUCAUGUAGAACUGAAAAUAAAUAAAUAUCAAACGAUAGGUUCGAUAGUGUGACUAAAGUUAUCCCAACUGAUCCUUCAUGGUGAUUUUCAAAGUUGUUCUUUUAGUUCAUACCUUUGUUCGUAAAUGCAAGAAAUAGGAAUCAAUCAGAAAGUUAAGGGUAAUUGUAACCAAGACAAUUAUUACUACGGUAUAUAAUUCGUAUUUUAAUUUUAAUUAAUUUUCAAGAUUAGUAAAACUAUUAAUUUUCUAUUAAGGUUGAGGGAGGGUUGAAUUAGUUAGUCUCAAGACUAUUGGCAAGAAGUUAAUAUUUUAAUGGUAAACAUCACAGUGUUGGUAAUGAGCCGGGUGACCGGCCUCAGCCCAAUCGGCGAUGCCCUAAGAAACUAGGGCUUGGGCCACAAAAUGUGGCCAGAGGCCUUUGUGGCCCAAGACCGGGCCUAGGUGGUACCACUGAGGCCCAUGCCGUGCCUAGGCCAAAUCUACAACUAGGCCACUUCUGCCCCGCCUAUGUGUUCCCCUUAUUUUUCUUUUAUUGUCUCAAUCUUCAAGGCCCAGCCCGACUAUUGCUUGGCCUAGUCCAUGAUAGAUUUGAUCCAGUUCCGCCAGGACCAAGACCGAGCCUAGUCCAAGGGUAGCCCUUAACUUUGCCGGGACUAAUAUCACUAAAAUUGUCAAAAUCACUUGAAAAAAUAAUUAGGGAGGUCAAAUCAACUAAUUUAGCAUUAUAGUUGUUACUUUAUAAUAUUUAUUUGAGGUGCUAACACAAUAUUGUUCAAAUAUGACUAACUUGACUCAAUUCUAGCUUCUAAACCUGAACAAGCAGUGGCAUUUCAAUAAUUUCACCUAAUGAAGUCACGCGAGUCCUGAGCCACCUCUUCAAACCUUCCAUCAACCAUGAAUGAAGUAGGAUGGAGGACUGCAGUUUAUACUUUUUUGAGGGAGGGAGAUUAAAGUUCCAGUGACCCCUGAAGCACUUCCUUCAAAACUUCAGACAUUUGCAAAAGUUGAGAGAGAUAAGGAAAAGAGAGCUUGAAAUGAUGGAGAGAGAGAGAAUAGAACCAUUGACCAUGAAAAUCAAAAUUCUCAGGUUCAACUGUAACCAAAAAAAUCUUGUUACCCAAACAGGGGUAUAGCUACAAUUCCAGAAUAGCUCAGUUCAAGACGGCGAUCUGAUUACCCUAGGGUUGUGUAUAAGCUAAUAUUAUUAGAGAGUUUAUAUAAUGUAGUAUUGUUUUAUAUUAGAGAAGUAAGUUUUAUCUUGAAAAGCCUUUUGAAAAGGUUGUUCUGGUUUAGAGAUCCUUCCAAUUUAUCAUCUCAACUUCGAGAUUUAUAGAUUAUGAGAAAAAGAGAAGUUUAAGUGUCAAAAAUAAUGCAUCUUGUGAUAUAUUAUCUUUCAGUCUGUUUUCAAGAUUUUCAAAUAGUUAUAGAUUUGAUCAAUUUGUAUUUGUUUUUGAAGCUUUAGAUUUCAUAAUUAAAGGCGAAAAUAGAUUUUCAGACCAAGAAUAAAAUUACCGCUUUUGACAAGGUUUGUAGAACUUCACCUUAAAAAUGUAUGAAUGUCACUAAACGGCCAGCCCUAGUUCGGAGUUUGGGUAUCACUAAAGGGGGCCUGGCCCAGGCAUGGCCUUGGGCUUAAGAGGUUGGGCUCUACUCCAGUCUGAUUCGGGUUUGGCCAGCCUGACAUAAUGAAUUCAAUAUGAAAACUAUAAAACAUAGGCCAAGUUGGGCCUCACUAGCCAUGGGCCUUGGCCCGAAAAUGCUGGCCCCUCAAGCCAAGAUGCCCCUCGGGCCAACUUUUGUGUCGGAGGCCCAGGUUUCUCAGCCAAGGUAGCCUUUGGGCCAACUCUUGCCGCGGGGUGUUUCCCGGUACCGGGCUGGGCUGGGCUGGGCUCCUGUCCCAGCCCUAAAUUCCCUAACCCCCUUUUGCUGGGUAAUACCGUCUUUGGGACAUUGAUAAGGGGAAGUUUAGUCUUUUUUUUUCAUAUAAAUUCCACCCUUUCUCCUUAUCCUAUCUCUCUCUUCUUUGAAGUAGGAAUGGCGUUAACACUGGGUGCUGCUCCGAUGGUGCUCAAUUUCCCCUCCUUAUCAUCCAGGGCCUCUCUUUCCUUCAAACCUAAUUUUGGGUUUUCUCUCUCUAAUGUUUCUCCCUCCUCUUCUUCACUUUCUAUGGCUUCCACUGCUCCAUUGUACCCGUCGGGUGAGUACAAACCAAUGCUCUCUCUCUCUCUCGCAUUUGAUUUCAUCAGUUUCUGUGUCUUGUAUAGCUCCCAUUAUUUCUUUGAUGAAAGUAAUGAUUGUCAAGUGUUUUCUUCUCUCUCUAACCCUGUCUUUUAAUUUGCCCUUCUGCUGUCUAUUAGCUUUGGAAAUCAUCUCUCUCUCUCUGAAAUCAAAAGUUUGUUCUUUGCUUGUUUUCAGUGUUCUGUGGUAGGGGAGACAGGAAAACCGCGAAAGGAAAGCGAUUCAGCCAUUCAUUCGGGAAUGUGAGUUAAUUGAGCUCAUACUCAUCUUAAAUUUGCAUGUUACAGUGAUUUUUAUGAGCCUCGAAUGAAUCAUUUUUCUCCCUAUUCCCCCAACUCCCCUAAGUCCUUGUAACCCAAAAACUCUCCCCCCAUUUGUUUGAUGAAUUAACAUUGGAAAGUACACUCUCAGGCAAGGCCUAGGAACAAGAAGAAAGGGAGAGGGCCUCCUCGUGUUCCCGCUCCUCCUUUGCCACCCAAGAAAGACCGUUUUGACGACGGGGAGGUUGUUAAGAUCCAAAUCGAUGAGUCCAUCUUUUCUAACUAAACCUCACUCUUUCUCUCUCUCUGUUUUGUUUAUAAAUGAAGAACAUGCUCUCUGUUCAAUGACUUGAUUGUUGAAAUUUGUAGCUGAUGUGCUAUAUUGUAACAUUUCAUUCUGAGAAAGUAAGAAGCUGUGUUUCUUUCAGGGAGCUAAUGGAAAUUCUGGACCUAUUUUGUAUUUCAAUGUUUUGUACUCUUUCCUCAAUGGAGCCAGUGGAUAUGGUAUCAUGCUGUAGUAUGCUACUUGUUUGUUGUAUUGUCUACUUGGCUUUGAUAGAUGUGCUGUGCUAAUAUUUUGCUAAUAUUUAGAUGGCAUUGUCUACAAAGAGAUCAUCUAUUUUUUAAAAAAGUUUAUAUAAGGCUGAGGCCCUAAACAAUGAAAUUAAAGCACACCUCAAAAAUUAAUUAGAAAUUUUUUUUUCGAUGCUCAAAACCGUCUGAUCCAAUCAUCUCAACCUUGAUAUGUAUGGACCUAAAAAAAAAGGGACUCUGAGUCUUGGCAUAGUAUAUCUUGUAAUGCAUUAUCUAGAUCAUCAAUUUUUAAGAUUAUCAAGUGUUCAUAGAUCUGCAUGAACUGCAUUAUUUUUUAAGCUUUAAAUUUUAUAAUUAGAUAUAAAAAUAAAUUUCAAACUAUAAUAAAUAUUUUUGGUACUUAACGACAAUCUUUCGAACUUAUUUGAAGGGGCACCUUACUUUGAUUGUUUAGGGCCUCAGUUUUAUACAAACUACAACCUUUAUCUUUUAUAUAUGGAGGUCACAAUCAUUCACACUCAUUAUAUGUCAAGUUGGAUUGCUUGAGGUGAAAAUAGGGGAGAGAGAGAGAGUUUUAGAGAGAGAAGAUAAUUUUAUUUAUUUUGGAAUCGUUUUCAUAUUUAUUUAUUUUUUCCUUAAAGUCUAUUUAAAGGGAAGAGUCCAUCAUUGUAAAGAGAUCUGAGUAAUGAUUAAAUUUGGUCUUGUGAAUAAAUCGUUUUUGGAAUGGAUUCCCUUUCAGUCCUUGGGAGAGGAUAUAUUCUAUCAAUUUUUUUCUGGUUUUAUUUUUAUUAUUCCGAAUUUAUUUUCUCUUUAUAUCAAUUAGUAUCAGAGCACAUUAGAUCCAAAAAUAGCAAAUAAGAUCAUCAAUUACAAUGCCGUUGAAACCUGUUAUUAAGAUCGAGGAUAUAUUCUCUCAAUCAUUUUCUUUUCUUUUUAUUGUUUAUUGUUUCGAAAAAAAAUUCUCCUUGCAUUAAUUAGUAUCAGAGCAAGUUAGAUCCAGAGAUAGUAAGUAAGAUCAUCGUUUACAAUGCUGCCAAAACCUCUUUUUACGAUCGAGGAUAUAUUGCCGCAACUCGUGGAUUAUAUGGGCUAGUGGAUUCAAGAGAUCUUGAACACAGUCUUGGAGGGUAUAUGAGAAAUAAGUGAAACCAAUUAGAGCUUGCAACGAUUAGAGGAUUUCAUUCAUCGAGAAGAGGGCGUCGCAACCACGUGGAUUUAGUGUCAAAACUCACCAUAGAGACGAGUCGAGUCGAGUUCCCCGACCGACUCAGGUUGCUAAUUUAGAUCCCGCUCAUAAAGAAAUUUGCAGAUAAAAUCCACGUCCUAUGGAGUAUCAACAUGAUCUGCUCGAUUUUCUCAAGUUUUACGAUGAACGUGUAAAAGAAAAAGAAAUCAUGAUUGAGCAUGAGAGAAGUAUUCUACUUCGAGAUAUGCACUAAGUUAUUUGAUGAAUCUAUUUUUUGAAGAAAAAGUAUUGAGGCUCAUAGUGGGACUUCAUCUCUAACUUUUGAGAAGGCCCUUAAAAGAUUUGAGUUCGAUAAAUUCGAGGACGAGUUUCUCCUAACCCGUGGAGAAUGAAUAAAAUUGUAGUCAUUUUAUUUUAUUACUCUUUUGUUUAUUUUUCUUAAUAAUAGGAAUUGAGCUGGGAUAAUUAAUAGGGGAGGGAGGAUUUCGGUACGUAUUGUUAAAUGUAUUGUUAAGUGGGAGGAUUUUUUGGAAUAGAUUAGGAAUAAUCUUUUAUGUAGGAUUUGGGACAUGAUAAAUAUCACGUGAGAAUGAGGGAGCUAUUUUGGGGAGGCUGGUAACAUGAUGAAGAAAAUAAGGAGACAGUGUGUGAGGGAUAUAGGGAAGAGAUUUAUGUGGAAGUGGAGGGAGAGAAAUAAGGGAAAGUUGUAAGUGACUUUUAGAGAGAUAAGAGAGUUUUUUUUUUUAUGGGUUUUUUUAUUUCUUAUUUUAGUCUAUUUAAAGAGAGAUAUCCCUUCUUUUGUAAAGAAUAAAAAAUGAGAAUUGAGUAAAUUUCGUCUUGUGAAAAGAUAUCCCUUCUUUUGUAAAGAAUAAAAAAUGAGAAUUGAGUAAAUUUCGUCUUGUGAAAAGAUCAUAUUUUGGGAUGGAUUCUCUCUCAGGUUUUGAGAUAUGGUAUAUUCUUCGAGAGAUUGUAUAUUCUCUUAACUUAUGAUGCUGUCGAAACCGAAACCUACUCUUAAGCUUGAGGAUAUAUUGCUGGAUUAUAUGGGCGAACGGAUUUAAGAGAGCUUGAACACAUCCGUGGGGGGUAUCCGACGAGAAAUAAGUAAAACCAAUCAGAUGUUACAACGGUUGGAGAACAACCUUCAUCGGGAAGAAGUUGCUUGCAGCCGAAUCGAUCUUACAGUAAUACUCCCACAACAAACACUUACACAUCAAACUCUUACACCAGUACUCCCACAACAAACUCUUACACAAGUACUCCCACAACAAACUCUUACACCAGUACUCCCACAACAAACUCUUACACAAGUACUCGCACAACAAACUCAAGGUGUUGAUCCCGACUGUAAUAAAAAAAUUGUAGACAAGAUCCACAUCCUAUGCAACGUCUACGAGAUGUAUUUCAUAAAAUACAAUCGGAGGAAGAAAAAUAUGAAGAGGUAGAUCUCGGUGCAAAAGACAACGUUUUAGCCCAAACGUGGAAGAAAUUUUGAAAACCAGUUGUGAAGAACUCAAUAGUCAUUGUGGUAUUCCAGAGUUUGGUGUCUCAAACUUUCGCCACAAGUCGUGUUGAAUAUAUUGUUUAUUUAUUGAAAAAAAGUUUCAAAGUCGCAUAGCGGGACUGCAUCACCAGCUUUUGAGAAGACUUUUAAAAUAUUUGAGUUAUAUAAGCUCAUGUCGAGCUUCUCAUCACCCUCUUUUGAGAGAACCUUUAAAAGAUUUCAGUUCUAUAAGCUCAGGUUGAACUUCUCAUCCCCUUCUUUUGAGAAGACCUCUAAAAGAUUUGAGUUAUAUAUGCUCAGGUCGAGCUUUUCAUCACAUUCUUUUCAAAAGACCUCUAGAAUAUUUGAGUUUUAUAAGCUCGAGGUCGAACUUCACCCAACAGGAGGAUUUUGGGAAAUAAAUAAGAACUAAUCUUGGAAAUAGGAAAUUUAAUUAGAUUUAGAUAGAGACGGAGGCUCCUAUAAAUGAGAGAAAAUAGGGAAAAGGAGAUUGAGAGAAAAUAAAGAGAGAGAGAGAGAGAGUGAGAGUUUUAGAGAGAGAAGAGAGUUUUAUUUAUUUUGGAUUUCUUUUUUUUUUUGUUUAGUUUUUCCCUAAAGUCUAUUUAAAGGGAAGAGUCCAUCGUGGUAAAGAGAUCACGGAACGAGAAUUGACCUUCAAAAAGAUCUUUUUUGAAAAGAUUUUUUUUUGGGUGGAUUCCUUUCGGCCCUUGAGAGAUGGUAUAUUCUCUCAAUUUAUCUUUUUUUUUUAUUAUUCCUAUUUUAUUUUCGCAUGCCAUACGAGGAAUAAGUGCCCAAGUUUUUUCACUAACAUUGCUGAAAUAUGAACCAACUUUUCUUUUUUCUUUUCUAAACAAAAGAAUAUUAUGGCCUAGGUUCCAUAUCUUUUCUCACAGAGGCGGUAAAAAUAAAAUAUACAUAAGGGAAAAUUUUGGAGACCAACUUGACCGCCUUGGGGACAUUUACAUCCAAAUAAAUUUGAAUGAGGUUCUUGAGGCUUAGGCACUAUGAAAUCAAAAUAAAGCCUAACCUCAAAUCCUGGUUUGAAAGUACUUUGGGAUACGGGUAUUUCUACAGUGGCUCUAAAAUCAAUUUACAAUACGGACAAUAAAAUUUGAAACUUAAAAAAUCGUAUAAAUCUUGUGGAUAUGUGAAUAUUUAUUUUUAAGGCAGAGUUUUGGAGUGCGGUUUAUAAUAUAAGGUUGCAACUUUAUAUAAACUUAUUCCUUGAAUUAUAGUGGCAAGCUUAUCACCACCCAUAUUCAAGAUGGAUGGUAGAGAUAAGUUGGUAUUGGUAUUCAUCUCCCAGCAAUUAGCGGUUGGUGCAAUCCUGAUGACAACAACUUUAGGAGAAACAUCACAAUCCCUUGAGGAGAGGGACCCAUCACCUCUUUAUCUAAUUUAUUUUUUGUGUAAAGGUAAUUUUUGUUAUUCAAUGCAAUAAUUUUUUUCAAAAAUAGCAUUAAUCAGUAACUACUAUAUUAUGUAAGCGGUGUACUUAUCAUCUUCUUGUUGACUUUUUUAAUUUCCAAAAUAGUGUUAUUAUAAUAUUUUUAUUAAAAUACAAUUGAAUUUAAAUAAGCGACAAUAAAUGUCUAGAGGAUUAGAGCCUUUGCAUCAUCGGUGAAUGUAAAUAAAAUAAGAAAAAAACUUUACUACUUUUGUUAUAAGAAGAUCACAAUUGUCUUUAGUUGUCAGAUGUGAAAUAUGACGGUUAAAAUUCUACCAUUAUUCAUUCUAAAAAGUCUUUUAAAAGUACAAAAAAUAAAACACCUCUAACAACCCAAGCUGGCCAAGGAUAAUGGUGACCUUUGACCGUCAAAAGUCCAAAGAUCAGGUGCACCGAACUUGUGAGCAAUUUAGUCUAAUCAAAAUCAAAUCAAUUAGCAAUCGAACCGGUUGGUUUAGAUGUUGAAAAAUACAAAAAAUAAAAAUAAUAGAUUAAAAUAUGAAAUAUAUUAAUAAAAAAUUUAUCAACUUUGUUAGCUAGUUAAAUCGGUCAAAAAUUAAACAAUUAGAUAGACCAAAUCAAUUAAGUUUGAACAACUUUCAUUUAAAAAAAAAAAAUUAUUAAUUUUGACCAUCUUUUAACAAAACGAAAAUUUUACUUGAGACUUAUCCAUAUCCAGCCAAAGCACUAAUGAUGCCGGGUAGUUCUCAAAUCUGGAUAACUAACUAUCUCAAGGUUUGGACUGAUACUGUACAAUCCAUGAAAACCUUUGGAAUAUAUUAUUUGUAUAUGAUUGAGAAUGAUUAAUUCCUAUUUGACAAUAAAUAACACAUUGAGAUAAACAUUCUUUGACAAUAAAGAAAACCAUUAUCAGGUUCUGAAUUGUCUACAUACCGUCAUUGUAAACAACGUGCUGUCUUCUUUGCCGGCUCUCCUCCCACCUUCUCUUUUAAUGCUUGUUUAUUGGCUCUUUCCCUCAGUUUCUCUCUCUUGAAAGAGCUCUUGAGUCUUGACCUCUGAUUCUCUCUCUUGAAAGAGCUCUUGAGUCUUGACCUCUGAUUCUCUCUCUUGUUUUGUACUCAGAGAUUCCCCCUUCCCUCUCUGCUAAAAAGCACUUCCUCUGUCUCCUUCUCUAGCUGUUAUGGAAGAGCUCUCUCUCUCUCUCUCUAACAUAGCAAAAUUCUCUCUCUCUCUCUUGUUCAUUAUUGGAUCUCUUUCUCUAUAAACAGAGCAAAAUUUCCUGUGAUUCUCUCUCUUGUUCAUUGAAAGAGCUUGAUAAGACUCUGUCUCCAAACUUUUAUGAUAUUGGGUCUCUCUCUCCAAACUGUUAUGAUAUUGGGUCUCUCUCUCUAACAGAGCAAAAAUUUCUAUGUUUCUCUCUCUUGUCCACUGAUAGAACUUGAUAAGACUCUGUCUCCAAACAUUUUUGAAAUUGGGUUCUUACCUUUAAGCUAAGAGACAGCUCAAAACAUGUCAGAGAUAACAGACGAAGAUGGGAAUAUGGAUUCAGAAGCACAGAAGAACAUGAUUAGGAGGAUCAUUCAGUAUCAGAAGCUCUUGUAUCUCUCAUCCUCUGCUGCUUCUUCUUCUUCCUCCUCCUCCUCUCUCUCUGCUUCUGCUUCUUCCUCUCUCUCUUCCUCUUUCUCGUCAUUGUCUCAGAGAAGAUUGACUUUGCUGGAGCUGAUGAAGGCCAGGAAUGGCUCCCUCAAGAGACUGUUCAGCAUGGAGCACACUUCUCUCUCUAAACACUUUAAUGACUACAGUGGUUCACCUGUUAUCAAGCCUCUGUAUCUUUGGGAGAGUGACACAGAUGAAAGCAUUCCGGAACCAGCUCUGCCAUGGCCAGCUGAAGAGAAAUUCAGAGUAGAGAGUGUAGAGAGAGGGGAAGCCAUAGAUCGAGCUCAAUAUAUAUUGAAGGAAGAGGGUAGAGAGAGAAACGAUGACACGAGUAAAGUCCCUGAUUUUUCGAGGCCGAGAUUCGGAAACCGGCGAACAUUGACAAGGAAAAAAUCAUACAGGGCUCUACCACGGUUCAGUCGGUGGAGAUGGAGAGGCUUUAGACUGAGGUUGAGGAGGCUCAGGAUCUUCGUAUGUGGAAGAAUAAUUUGAUUGUAUAAAUUUUACAAAGAAAUGAUGAUGUACAAAACAGAAAUUGCUACAAAGAAAUUAAGCUGUUAAAUCGACACCAUUAAAAUGAUAAUCAUCUAAUGAAAAGAAAAGGAAAGAGGGAAAAUUACUGACAAAUCUCCUUUUAAGUUUUCUAUGUUUUAAUGAUCUAAAAUUUGAGCGGUUUGUACUUUGUACUUCUCAUCAUGCACCUAUAAAACAAUGUAAAAGAAAUAAUUCAAUUAGAAAGAGUAAUGAUACUAGGAGACCCUCCGGUAUCCAUUGUAUGUAGGACUUUAAAAUCUAUGUGUAUAGGACCUCAAAGGAUUGCCAUUAAAGUCAGAUAUCCAUGUGUGCAGGAUUUCAAAUGAUCACCAUUAAAACCAAGUCUUACACCAAUGUGAUAACUUUUCUAGAGAUCUAUGUCAAAUUUAAUGGUGAUCAUUUAAGACCCUCCCACACCAAUAUGUGAUCUUAUGAUACCCUCCCACACCCAUGUAUUUAGAACCCCAACGAUCACCAUGAAAUAGCCAAAUCCCCUAUAAGAUUUAGGUUCUUUUGGUAUUUUUAUUUCUUUCAAUUACAUUUUCUUUUUCCUUUUUAAACAUAUACACUAGGGUGAGAGCAGUGUUUGCAAACUGCGAGCGGUUUGUAUAGGGCCGAGGCUCUAAACUAUCAAAUUAGAACCCACCUUCAAAUAGUAUCGAGAAAUAUAGCUUCAAUAUUGAAAUUUUUUGACUAGCCUUAAAAUAUAUUUUCAUCUUUAAUUAUAAAAUUUAAAGCUUCAAAAAUAGUGUAGAUUAAGUAGAUCUAUCAAAACUUGAAAAUCCUGAAAAUCAACGGUCCAAAAAUACAUUACAAGAUGUACUAUUUUCAAAACUUGAAAUCAUUUUUUUUCUCAUGUUUAUGCAUCUUGAUGUCAAGAUUAUUAAUUUGAGCAUUAAAACAACCUCUUCUAGUGAAAUUUUUGAGGUAGGCUCUAAUUUGAUUGUUUACAGCCUAGGCACUAUAUAAACUUUUCCCUUGCAAACUCGUCCGAUUGAACUUAAGACCAGCUGGUGAGAUUGAAAUCGGGCACAAGCUGGUUCCGGUUUUGGGAUCCGGCUAGGUAUUUAAAAAAAAAAACUAAAAAAUAAUUAUAUAAAAUUUCAGAAAAUAAGAUAUUUGUUUCUAAUACAUUUUUUAAUGUUUUUUUAUCAUUUUUGACAAAGAUUGGAAAUUGUUUUGGCCAUGAAUACUUAUUUUUAUAUUUUUUUCAUUUUUUAAAAAUUUCAAAAAUAUCCCUAAGCACAAAUCAAAAUUUUGAAAAUCUAUUUUUUCACUAAUUUUUAACUUUGUUUGGAUGUGCUUUGCUUAAUCAUACUUUUUAUAUUUUGUUUAGAUUUUUUUUUUUUUAUAUAUAUUUUUUUGAUCGGUCGAGACUUGCCCGAUUAAACCAGUUGAAGUAACCGUUUUGGCAGUUACUCGGAAACGACCCUUGGCCAGUUCGAUUUUUCGAAUACUGGGUGGAAGAGUAUGAUACCCAAAUUUUGAGCUUAAUCUAGUGUAUAGAAAAAAGAAUUAAAUUGAAAUACAUCAUGAACGUUUAAAAAGUGGGAGGUUAGUGGAAGAUAUGAAGGAGUCUGUUUUGUAAAUUUUAAAAAUAAAUUGUGAUUUUUUCCAUAAAUUUUGCAAAAAAUAAAAGGAACUCUCAUAGUCAUUAUCCUCUAGAAAUUCCAUGUAAUUUGAUUGAUAAUAAGUCCCCAACUAUCUUCUAAGAAUUUCAUGUUGAAAUACCUUUUGUCUAUAAAAUUUGGGAAUUAUAGAGAGAUAAAGCUUUUAAAAUUUUGAAUUUUCAUUAUCCUCCAAUAAGUGUAGACUGUAAAAAUAAAAUAAAAUUGCAGGAUGUGGGGCUAAGGGGACAGGAAAGAAGAAAUCACAGGAAUUGCAUUUUGAAGUUUGAACAACAUUCUUCAAUUGAGAGAGAGAGAUGCAAUUUCUUAUGAAAAAUUUAAGCUCCGUUAUUGAUGCAGUCAUGGAAUGACUUAAUUUGGAUUGUUUUAUGUACUUUAAUUAAUGGUUAUAUUUUGAAAAUUUUUAAGAAUCAUGUUAGUUUAGAUUAUUAAGGCUAUUUUAAUUAUUUUUUUGUUUAGGGAGCAUACAAAGAUAAUUAUGUGGGCAUGAAAGAGUUUUCUCCAACCAAAAGAGAUUGAUGAUUGCAUGGAAUAACUUAAUUUAGAUUUUUUUAUAUGUAUUUUAAUUAAAAGUUAUAUUUUGAGGAUUUUUAAGAAUUAUGUUAGUUUAGAUUAUUAGAGUUAUUUUAAUUAUUUUUUUAUUUAAGUAGUGCACAGGAUAAUUACGUGGGCAUGAGAGAAAAAAUAAGGAUGAGAGAAACCAGGGAGGAGAGAUUUUUUUUUGCUUUUUUUUUUUAUCUAUUUAAAAAGUGGUUUCCAUUGGUCAGAAAAUUAAUAAAUGAAUUGAAUAGAAAUUGCUCUUGUAAAAAGAUAUUGUGAAAAGAUUGUAUUUGGGUGGAUUCUGUUUGGUAUAUUCUGUCAACCUUUCUUUCUAAUUUAAUUGUUAUUUUCCUCAAAAGAAUUGCAGGGGGAAUGCCCAUUUUUACAUAAAGAAAUCUAGAGAGAGAAACCUGCCAUUCCCUCUAAUCUCACAGCUUCAUGAUGCAUAUACAUGCUUACAAAAAAUACAACAUUUUGAGAUAAUAUGCCCCAAAAUGCUCCCCUUCUCAAUUCUUAGCUUCCUACUCUCUCUGUUCCAUAAAUGAAUUGCAUAAGUCUCUUGUUGAAGUUGCCUCAAUUUUGCAGAAACCCAUUUCGAAAAUCUUGGAUUCUUCGGCCUCUGAAAAAACCCACCAAUCUUAAUCCAAUCAACAGGGUAAAAGGCCAUGGGAGGAAGAACAGUGAAGUUAAAACCAGGCCUGUCAUGAACUCUCGAAGCCACUCUCGAAACCAAGUAUGGACCAUUGUGACCCCACCUGUUUCCAUUAAAAGUUAGAGCGAAUUCUCCAAUGAAUUCAAGGAGGAGAGGGUGGUUUUCGUCGAAAAUCAACAUGGCGUUGUUGAGCCGACUCCAUUGCCCUGGCUCCAAGCUCAUGGUCUGAGCUCCAAUGGAGUUUCUAAGAUUCGAGAAUUUCUUCAUGACUAUAACAUCUGUGUCUAAAUAAAUCCCCCCGAAUUUGUAGAGAACCGAAAGCCUGAGCAAAUUCGAUAAGUUUUGAGCAAAAGGUAUCUCUCCGGGAUCAAUUUUUCCUCCCUUCAAAUCAUCGAACCAGGUUUCAGCCGGUGUGUUUCGAAAGAGAAAUGGUAGAUCAGGUGUUACGGCGAGAACUCGAAAAUCCAUCUCUCUAAAUGGUCUUAGAAUCAGCUUUCCAUGCCUGGAGUCCAUGCUUUGAGAGACAAUGAGUAAGCAAGCCUUGUCGUGGGCUUUGAACAAACUCUCUAGAGAGAGAAACUCUCUGUGACCAAAAGCUUUCGCAGGUGAAAUCCAUGUCAUGAAAAACCGGAGCUCGCAACCGACGCCGAAGAACUUUCGAGCUCGAAGAGAGAACCUUUUCGAUAUGGGGCUAUCUUGAAUGAUCUUAAACCUGAAUUGGUUCUCUUUGAACCAAAGCAUUCUCUCUUCUUGAGACACAUUUAGAGGUGAGAGAAAAUGGUCAGAGCCUUUGAUAAGGGGAACAUGGGUCUCCUUCUCUAUAGAGAGAAGUAUAGGAAAGUGAAGUCUCGGUUGCCGGACUGAACUUUCAGGCAAUAUAUUCAAGCCAACUGGAAAAUGGAUGAGAGAGAAGUUGGAGAAAGCACUCAAAAAGAGUAGAAGGGAGAAGAAGGUGAGAAGAAUAAUGGUGAAGAGAGAGAAUCUAAAGCUAGUGGGUUGCCGGAAAUUGAUCAUUCUGGUUUUCUGGCUGGAAACUAAUGAUUUUCCGGGUAACUUUGGCGGGCAUUCGGACAUAUUGAAUGGGAGUUAUUUGUAUAUCUGUUAGGCAAAUUUCAUGGCGGAUAAAUAGAGAUAGUGACCAAUUGUUAGAUACAGCAGAAAAUCUUAGAUAAUUAAUGUUUUUUGUGCGUUUCGAGAUGUUUGCGCGCAUGUGGGAGCAUACUAUAUAGGUACUUCUCAGGGAAAGAGCAUUUCUAAGGACUCUUUCACAAAAAUUUGUGAUCCAUUUUAAAGUAACCAGUUUAAUAUUUUAAACAAUAAGAUUGAAUUUUGAGCUUCUAAAAACUUGAAUAUGGUCAUCAAAAAAUUAUAAGAUCUUUUUCAAUAUUAGGUAUGUUAUAUUUUAAGAAAAUUAUUUCAUGCGGGCCGAACAACAUUUCUAUCGUAUGCCGUUUAAAAAGUGUAAAGCAUCCAUCUUAAAGAUGGAUGCAAGUAGGUGUUUCAUCUAAAACAAUGGAAAUAUAUUUUUACUAGAAUUAUUAUUUUUAAGUUUUUAAAUUUAUUCAUUUUUUCAUAUUCAUGAUCUCCAUAUUAGAGAUUACACGUCUUUAAAAAGUAAGUCUUAAAAUCUAUUCAAAAAUUAGAUUUAUUAAGAGACCCAUAUUUCUAUUUAUGUGAGCUUGGCCGCAGAGAAAUCGGGUCCUAUAUUUUAAGCAGAUAUAAAGUGAUUUUCCUUCUUUUCUUUCUUUUUCUUGGGAUUUGGUCUUUUAAUUUGAAUUGAUUUGUUGAGGAGGUUACAUAGCCAAAAACUUGAGGGCCUAAAAUUAAUUUUAAGUAAUAUUUUUAUGUGGUGUACGAAUGGCUAAUAUGUUCAUGUGGGAAUACGUAAUUUUUUGACUGGAUUCUUUUAUUUAAUAUAUUUCUUAGCUAUUUUUUUCUCGAUUUAUCCGCGUCUUUAUUCAAAGGUUGACGUAGCCUAAAAUGAGUUUCUAGCCGCCAUGUUUUGGACUUGGGAAGAGAAGAACAUUUCUUUGUCAAAAAAAUCAGCAAAACUAAUGGUAAGAACAUAUGUGCUCCCGCGUGAGCACAUUCCACAUUUGGUCCCUCGGGUAAAACUAGUGCUUUAAAACGGGAUGAAGUUUCUAUAAAAAUAAAAUAAAGCCACAUUUCAAUUUCUCAUCCGGAAAUCACUUUUCGGUAUAAAAAAUCUUCAUGUGGCUCUAAAAUCAUUUUCCAACACGACAAUAAAAUUUAAAGCUCAAAAACUAGUACAGAUCCAAUAAAUACUUAUCUUCAGGGCAAAAUGGACGGUCUAGAUAAUGUUUUAUAAUAUACACUAUUUUUAGAGUUUGAAAUCAUAAUUUUUUUUCACAAUCAUAAUGUUGAAGUCGAGAUGAUCGAUUUAAAGGUUUUCAAAUGCUUGAAUUGCAAUUUACAAUGAGUUAUGAGGUGAGGCUUUACUUAACCAUUUUCUUUUAAAACGUGGAUUGGUGGGGUGGUAGAUCGUCCACCUUACAUAUCAAUCAAUCUUGAAUUGGCGAUGUACAUCGGGCCUAAUCAGGGAUCUAAAAAAUAUUAGAUAAGUAUAAAAGGAAGGGAAAAAUAAUAAAAUAAUAUAUAUAUAUAUAUAUGAAAGAGACUGUUUUAGAGGGGGAUCCGAUACAUUUAUCUUUCUAAACCAGUUCUGGGCCCAACCAAUUUAUUAUCAUCGAAGUUCUUUUUCAACUAAUUGGGAUCAACUACAUGAAUACUAGUCCACCAGUCAGCUCUAUUAAGAGUUAUAUACUCGGUUCGGAACCAAUUAAUUUCCUAUCCAAAUUAGUUAUUUUCGAUCUAGAUCGACGGGUACUAAAAUACUAAGCAUGACCUUGUGAAGGAGGUUUUUAGGAGCUCAAAAUUUUGGGAUUAACCUCCAAAACUUAACGAUGAACUUACAUAAAAAAAAGUAAACAAAUUUUGUGCGUGCAGGGAAAAGAUCAUAAAAAAGAUUUGUAUUGUAAGAUUUAACGGUGACCAUCCUAAAAAUUUAAAACAGUCAAAUCUAAGUUUUUAAUAACAUAUUCCUUUAAAUUCUCUUUAGUAAUUAUCAAGUAAAUUACACAAAUUUUAAGCAGAAAAUAUUCCCCUCACUAGGUCUUUUACUGCAGGAGUAAAUGAAUAGCAUACUCCCAUGGUUGCGUGUUUUUCUUUUUUGAAAUGUAGUUGCGUGUUAAUAUUAGCAAACACAAUAAAAUACUUAGCGGAAGAUUGGCACGCAUCAAGCGAAUGGAAUGGACAAAAGUGAGGCACCAAAAUUCCAAAUUUCACACAGGAAAAGUAUACAAUGAGAACAUUGUUUGACAAAAUAAUGCUCUUUGGAUUCGCCAUUAAGUCUAAGACUAAGUAUGCUUCUAGUCUAUAUAUAUAUAUAUAUAUAUAUAUAUAUAUAUAUAAGUAACUACUACUACUACUAUAGAACGUAAGUAAGUAAGUAGUAGUUACUUUACUUUACGUUCUUACUACUACCUACCUACUAACUACUACGUNNNNNNNNNNNNNNNNNNNNACACUAAUAAAAAUAUAAAAAAAAUAUUACAAAAUAUAAAUGAACCAAAAUACCCCUAAAAAUUUAUAAGGGUAUUUUGGUUAAUUUAUAUUUUGUGAAUUAUUUUUUUCAUAUUUUUAUUAGGUGGGCCUCACUAAGAUGUAUGCAUAUUCCAAAUUUCAGAUAAUUCUGAUUAGUAAAAAAAAAUAAAAAUUGAAACACUACCAGACAAACUGUGACCGUGCGAUGAAGUUAAAUGGUGAUGAGAGAAAACAAAAUCAUUGUUCAUUUCGCCCCAUAAACAUUUUAUAGUAUCUUCCAUAUAUAUAUAUAUACUCACAAAUUACCUCUUUCCCAUUUAUUAAAAUUGGAAUAUGCCCUAAACCUCUGUCUCUCUAAUUUUUUGAGUAAAUAGCAAAAUCUCUCAAAGACAACUCUAGAUUACUAAGGUAUCCGUUCUUUGUUAAAAAUAUAAUAUGAAGCAAAAUACCCCUCUCUCUCUCCUCACAAAUUACCUCUUUCCCGUCUACUAAAUUUGGAAUUGAAAAAUGGUUUGAUAAGGCUGCAAUCAUGUCAAAGUAAGUAAACCUUAAGAGAUGGCUCUAUGCAAAUCACACCCUUCGGAUUUGUGUUAUUUUGUAGAUUGAAAACCAUUAAAGAAGACAUUAAUUUCCUUGCCCUAAAGGGGUAUUUCAAAUCCACAACAAACAGUACAUGUUCAAAGAACAGAAAAUUGAAAUAAUAUCAAUCAUUAUUUAUUGAUAUUUUUUCUAUUGUUUCUAAUUUCGGGCCUAGAUUAUGCUGAAGUGGACAUUAGUUAUUCAGCAAUGGAGAAUUGCGUAUUAAUAGAAGCAAAAGUGUCUGUUGACUCAUGCAUCCCCCUUGGUUUUGGGAUUUAGGAUUCAAAAUGUAUCCAUAAGUACAGUUAAUCUGUUUUUAGCUCGAGGUCCCUAAUUUUGAAACUCUAAAAUAGUGCAGAUCUCAUGAUCUUUCGAGAAUUAAAAUAAAGUCUAAAAAAUUUGCAAAAUAGACAAUUCAGAAACCUCGAUAUUCAUUUUCCUAUCGUAUUUAAUCGAAAUAAUAGGCCUAUAAAAAUUGGAUUCAAAAUCUAUAUCCAAAAUGGAUUUCAGGAGGGUAAAUUCCCUGUAAAAGGUGAAUCCCAAACCCUACCAAACCCAUGACAGCAUAUAUAAACUGCUGGUGUGGGGAUUAAAAUGGGUAUAAAAGGAAAAUGAGAAUAUCAGCAGUUUUUCUCAAAUUUUAGAGGACUCAAAGUGUCCACAUAUUAGAAAGGUUUGCUUUUGCCCACUCUCAAGGCCACUUUUACCCUAAUUAGCUAGUUUGCUUUUUGUCCAUUCUCAAGUUUAGUUUUACAUCAAAAGACUAAUCCUCCACUAGGAGCAAAAUCUACACUUAAUGCCUUAGGCAAAAACUUACCUAGAACAAAGUUUUUGACCCCAAAUUGUGGGGAAGUCAUCAACAUACUCUAGUCACUAACUACAACAACAAAUAAACCAAAAGUCGGAAUCUCACUUGGAGGAAAAAUCUACUCCUCAAAUUAUUGAUCUGGUGAUUCUUAAGUGGAUCCAAAAAUUUCAGUUCUAAUAAAUUCCUCAAAGUAAGUUUUUUGCGUAAGGGAGUAAGUUUACAUUAUGCACGCACAUGUAUAUGUUGUGUGUGCCCUUCUCUUAAACGAGAUUAACUCCCAUACAGUUUAUUAUUUGGCUAAGUUACUCGGGGAGGUUUUGUGCGAUCCAUGUGUUGCAUUUAUAAAAGGUUAGCACUGCUAGAUUGACGAUGUGCAUCGCGUGGCUGCAGAAGGAAAUAAAGAUCAUAAAGAUAACAUGAAUUGGGCUUGGAUUAAGACAGUAGCAGCUGGGUUUACAUAGCGCUACAUCUCGAGAUCCAUUCCUAUGUAACCUUGUCAAAAAAAAGAAAGAAGAUUAUAAAGAUAUCAAUACCACUGGCAACGUGUUUAGGACCUGAAACACCUCUUAAACCACUAGAAAUCUAUUUUUGCCUCGUAUCUAUGAAUUUGAAUUCCAAAUAUAAUAUCAAUUGGUAAGUGGAAUGAUGUUUUCAUGGCCAAGGAGAAUCUUCCAUUCCAUUAAUCUAAUUUGUUUUUUCUCUCUUUUUUGUGAAGAUUUAGAAACAGAGAUAACAUAAAAAAAACAAUUUUCUCCAUCUCAUACUAUCUUUUAUAAGUUAUAUUAUGAAACCUCAUGACUUCAAACAAGACCCUUUCAAAUGUCCCCCAUGACUUUAACCUUCCUCAAUUCUUUCACCACUUCUCUCAUAUUCAUUCUCUCUUUAGAAUUUUCUUUGGCACACAUCAAGCCAAUUCUAAUCAAUGAAACCAAGCUUUGCUCCCAUUUUCUUUUCUUUGACAUGGUCCUGCCAUCUCCUGUGCUUUUUCUGCCACCCACCUCUUCCACUAGUCUUGAGUCAAUAAUCUCCAUUAUUUGAUCAGGAAAUUUGAGACUAACAAAGUUGGGUAGGUUCAAACCAUCAGUAAACAUGUUGUCUGUUGGUCUCUUCCCUGUGAAAAUUUCAAGUAACAAAAUUCCAUAACUGUAAACAUCUCCAGCUGUUGAUACCUCUCCCCCUAGUCCAUACUCUGCAUUCAUUAUAGUCCACAGGUUAGCAUUGGAAAACACCUAUACACCGCACGGAGAUGCAUACAUAUAUGGAUAAAUAUACAGUUUUAUCUGCUAAAGUGCAUAGCAAAAGAGUCCUUUCGGUGAAAUUUCGCAAAACAAAAAUAUCUUUGGAUCGAUAGAUGAACAUAAAAAGAAAGAAAUCGAUUUUGUGUCCUUGAAGGCAAAGAACCACCCUCCAUCAGAUGGAUGGACUGCGUUCACUGAAAAUGGUGGAAUCAUUUUGGAUCCUUUUUUUGUGCAAUUCAUUUUUUUUUUUUGUUGCUUGAGCGAAAUAAACAUAUGUUCAAAAUUUGGGUUUCCAACAACUCCUUUUGGCUCUAACAAGCAUAUAUUGGCUUAAACAUGUUAUUGUGUCUGUUAACCAUUAUCAUGUACUUAUGCCAGCUACAUGAGUAUGGAAUAUGGUACACCAUAGGCCUUCCGGCAUCCAUUCCAGAAGAAUAGAUGCUGGAGACCAACCAUAGCUCAUGGCAGUUUUUGCUUAAGUACGACUAAUCUCGAACAUCAAUUACCGCAUAAACAAACUUUGGAUGUUCUCAUGGCGUGUUAUGUAUCAAUCACCACUGGUGCAUUGUAGUUCUUUUACUAGGUGGUAUAUACUUUCCAAGGAAAAGUGUACUACAAUCCUCAUGAUCAUUGGAGAUCAAUAGUAAUGAUGAUCAUCACCAUUCAAUCAUAGGUUCUGAAGAGCGGGACCCACCAUUUUGAAUCAUGUUAUCUUUUGUGGUUCCUAGUCUAUCUACGUCACCGCCCACGCAUUGAUGGACGGUAAUCACCCUUAUGACUAUCGGGAAUCCAUAGUCAUGAGGAUUAUAUAUAGUUUAUUGCCAUUUUUUAAAUAAGUACCUGGAGGGAUGUAACCAACUGAUCCUUUAAGCCCAAGAGUGCUGGUCCGUAGAUCUGGAGCAGGUAAGAAUCUUGAUAGUCCAAAAUCUGCAACAUGUGCAUUCAUGGAAUCAUCCAAGAGCACAUUGCUUGGCUUCAAAUCACAGUGGAUUAUCGGGUUUUGGCAAUCAUUGUGCAGAUAAUCCAUGGCUGAAGCCACGUCCAUCACUAUGUUGAGCCUCUGAUUAAGGCUCAAGCUCUGGUUCAAAAUGUUCUCUUGAAUCCUCUCUCUACAACCCAUGAACGAAUUGGAUGCGUUCCUUUGAAUUCUCUCUUUAGAACUCAUUGGAGAGGGAUCAGAAAUGCACUUAUAAUUCAUCUCACUGAUAACCAUUAACUGAUUUGAGGUGUGCUCAUGAAUUCUCUCACUGGAAUUCACUGAGGGAUUGCAGGUUCGAAUUCCCUCACUAGAACUCAUUGAGUUGUUGCAGCUCAUCAAUUGACUUCUCUCACUAGAACCCUCGAAUGGGUGGAGCCAAUUUUCGAGGCUCCCGUUCGACAUCAAUUCAAACACGAGAGCUUUGAACUCAUUGCUUCUGAAAUCGAUGCUCGAGCACGAGGUGAUUAUCUUCACCAGGUUCCUGUGCCUGACAUUUCUCAGAGUUUCACACUCCACAAUAAAGCUCUUGAAAGCUCCAUGCCUCCGUAAAUUUAGGACCUUGACUGCAACUUUUAGUCCAUCAUUUAGGAUCCCCUCAUAUACUGAACCAAAAUUGCCGAUACCCAUUAAUCUCGAUUCACUGAAAGCAUCAGUUGCAGUGUAGAGCUCUUCAUAUGAGAUCUUUCUCUGAUAGUCCUCCUCCAUUAAAUCUGGCUCUGAGGAAACCUUGCUCGAUUCCUUUCUCACGAACAAAUAAACCGUCACAAAUAUGAUAACUGCAACAACUGGAGAGCAAAUAAUGAGGAUCGAUUCAGUGAGGCCUACCCUUUUCUCAUCAUUUUUAGGGGCUCUUGACCCUGAGCAUAGAGGCAAGUUCUCUCUCUCUCUAACAACACAGAGCCUGGAAUUUCCUAAGAAUGAUGUUGAAUUAAGAUUCUUGAAAGACCCACCUUCCGGAAUUUCUCCUUCGAGAUUGUUGUAAGAGAGAUUCAAGCUACGAAGGAACUGAAGCUCUUGCAGAGGCUCUGGGAUUCUCCCUGAUAGAUGGUUCGAAGAGAGAUCGAGCUCAGUUAAACCAGUCAAUUUUGUCAUAGAAUCAGGAAUCGGGCCUUCAAAUGAGUUCCCAUGCAAAUCCAGAGAUUGCAGGCCUACACAAUUUCCAAUUGUAUCGGGAAUUCGGCCCGAUAUCCGAUUUCUCGAGAGAUCGAUAGCUUGAACCAUGUUAAGAUUCCCAAAUUGCAGAGGCAAGAUUCCACUUAGAGAAUUUGAAGAUAAGUUUAAGGCUUCUGCCAGGCUAGAGAGACUGAAAAUUUCUUCUGGGAUGGUUCCAUUGAGCUCAUUUGCAGAGAGGCUAAGGAUCAUGAUAUUUCGGUAUCUUCCGAGAUUCUUUGGAAUUCUUCCUGAUAGCCUAUUGUUACUCAAAUCAAGCUUGGUUAAGCCAGUGAUCUCCCCAAUUGAACAUGGGAUUUCUCCUGAAAAUUGGUUCUUAUUCAAAAACAAUAUCUGCAAAUUCUUUAGACUACCAAUACUAGUUGGAAUAGUUCCAGAUAAUAGAUUUGAGCUUAAAUCGAGAGAUUUGAGAUUUAUGAGCUUGUCUAAGUCAGUUGGAAGAGAACCUGAUAUAUGGUUAUCUCCCAUAAGAAACUGUGAGAGUUGGGUAGAGAGAGAAGAAACAGAACCAGGCAAAAUACCAGUCAACCUAUUCGAAAACACCGAUAAUAUCUCUAGUUUGGUGCAAUUAGAGAGAGAAUCAAUAAAGCUCAAGCCUUUUUCCUCUGAACUAGAGAACCCAUUUCUCUCUAGAUUCAAACGAGUAAGAUUCGGCCAAUUCCCGAACAUUAAUGGCAGAGGCCCAACAAGAUUGUUAGCUGAUAAGUCCAGGACCCUGAAACCAGUAGCAUUUGUCAAAGAAACUGGAAAAACCCCAUGAAAUCGGUUCCCACCAAAGAGAAGCUCUUGUAGAUUGGGGAGCUUGAAGCCCAUGUCAUGAGGCAAGCUCCCCUGAAUCUUAUUGUUAGUGAGCGAAAAGUAGAGGAGAGAUGAUAUAUUGUAGAGAGAAGGAGGAACGGUUCCUGUAAGAUUAUUUCCACAGAGCUGUAACUUCCAUAGCUUCUUGAGCUUGCCCAAGCUCUCUGGUAUGGUUCCAUAGAACCUGUUUCUAGAAAGAGAGAGGAAUGUGAGAGAAGUGAGGUUGCCUAAUGAAGGUGGGAUGUUUCCUGUUAACCUGUUAUUAUAAAUGCUUAAGAAUUCAAGGUCUUUUAACUGAUCAAAUUCACUUGGAAAGCUUCCUCUAAAUUGGUUUUCAUGGAGAUUCAAUACUCUGAGCUUAGAACACUUGGUAAUACUGGCUGGAAUAUUUCCACUGAGUGAAUUGAAACUAAGGUUCAGUGUUUGCAAUUCAAAUAGAGAACCAAUCUCUAGAGGGAGAGAACCUUGAAGGUUGUUUUCUUGAAGAAAGAGAGUCUCAAGAGAAGAGAGGUUACCUAUUUGUGGUGUAAUGGUGCCUUGCAAGCUCAAGUCAUGGAGGUCUAGAGCUCGAACUCUCUGUGUAAUGGGGUCACAUAGAACUCCUUUCCAGUUGCAGAGAGAGAUGGUGUGGUUCCAUGAGUCCAAAGCUCUGUUGGGGUCUUGGGUUAUGUGGGUUUUGAAGGAGAAAAGAGCUUGUUGGUCUGUUGAGUUUAGAGAGAGAGAGGGUGUGGAAUGUGAAAUGGUGAAGGUGAAGAGGUUUAUGAGGAGGAGAGAGAACACAAGCAUGGCUGAUGCCUGGUUCAUGGUAAAAAAUUGAAAGAAGGCCAUGAGAUUGCAACUGAUAGCAUAUUUGAACUAUAUAUUAUACGUUGGUAUGUUGGUGUAGAGAGAGAGGGAUGUUUUUUAGAGAGAGAAAGAGGGGGGUGAUUUUUUAGAGAGAGAAAGAGGGGUGUGCUUUUUUAGAGAGAGAAAGGGACGUAUGAGACGCAACCGCCUACUCACAUGGCUUUGAAAUAGACCGUUGAAUAUUCAGGGUUAGGUAGGCGCUUUCUUCUUUAAUUUCGGCAUAAAAAUCCACAAAAUAUAUCCUCAUCACUGGCAAGAAUGACCAAACACCAUCUAUAGAGAGAGUUUUUUGAAGCGUUAUAGAGAGAGAGAAAGAGUUGCAACAAGGAUAACUGGCCACAAAACAAAGAAUGAUUUUAGUGUUUUAGAGAGAGUGGAACUGGGAUGAUUGGCCACAAUGCAAAGACUGGUUUUGGAGAGAAAAUGGACAUGUUUACCAUAAAAUGUUAGCAACUGGUCUAACAGGAAGAAUCAUCCUUGUAUUUAUUUUAGAGAGAGAGAACCAUGGUAAAAAAGAGUCCAUUUGAAACACCAAUUUUCCAAAAAUAUUCAAUUUAUUCAAAAAAAUGUUUCAAAAAGACAAUCUUUCAAAUACGUUCAAAUGCAUUUCAUCAACUUCAUCAUCAUCCGCCUUGUUUAUUUUCUUACUACUUCUAUCGAAAAAUUUUGAAGCUUUUUUUUUACCUUUUUGGCACCUUCCACGUAAACUAAAUCACACUUCUUAUAAAUUGUUGUAUAAUGCCUGCAAUGCAAAUGGUCAAGCCAUACAGAUCUACUUUCUCUUAUCUUAUCCCUUAUUCAAGUUAUUCAUAUAUUCGAUCUCCAUGUUAGAUAUUACAUGUCAUUAAAAAUUAAAUAUUAAAAUCUAUCUAAAAAAUCGAUUUAUUAAGAGGCCCCAAUUUCUACAUAUGCAGGCUUGGCCGCAUAAAAACCGGAUCCUUUAAUUAUUAAUAUAAGUACUUUUUUUCAUAUUCAUAAUCUUAUAUAUUCUCUAAAAAUUAGCAUCAAAUUAUAUUUUAAAAAUGCAUUCAUUGCUAAGCCCACAUUUCUGAUUGUAUAGAAACCGUAUCCUUUAUGAAUUGCUAGAGUUGUAACAUGAUUAUUUGUCAAGAAAGCAAAUAUGAUUUUCGAGAGAGAAAAUAUGUAUGUUUCUCAUAAAAGCAAUAAGGAAAGCUUUCUAUGUUCUCCUUACAGCAUAGAAGUUCUAUCAUCCAGCCGUUCAUUUUUUAUCAAGAGUGCCACUCACCAUUUGAUCUUAGAUCCGACAUCUCAAAGUAUUAUAUUUUUAGUUUUUUUCACACAAUUUUUCUAAAUAUGAAAUUUAGUACGUGCCAUUUUUUCAUUGGGACACACCUAUAAAAAAUAUCAACAAUAAUGUUUUUAUAAAAACUAAUGACCAAAAUACCUCUUGAAUCUUUCAAGGGCAUUUUGGUUAUUUCAUUCUACUGAAAAUAUUUUUUUUAUAUUUUUCGCUAGUGUGAGUUUAAUGGAAGAAUGGAUGUCUAAAAUUUGGUGUCAAAAUAGUUUAUAAAAAAAAUUAAAAAUAAAAUAGUGUAGAGACAUGACAUUGUGAUUGAGUCAAUCUUAGCCCUCUAUUAAAAAAUAGACGGUUAGAUAAGGGGAGAAUGGAACUUAUAUGUUGUAGAAAAAACAUAGAAAACUUUACCAAAACAAUAUACUAAUAGAGAGAGUUAUCCUCAUUUUUCAAAGUUCUAAAGAAUUAUUUGUAUAUUUUUCAAAAUUCAAGUAUGCUAUCGUCAUUUUUCAAAGUUCUAAAGAAUCGUGCGUAUAAUUUUUCAAAGUUCAAGUAUGCACGAAAGAUUUGGGGAGAGCAGGUUAGGUGAAUUGAAGAGUGAGAAAGCAUUGCAUCAUGCCUAUGCGAUUGCGAUUGCGAUUGCAGUGAAAAAUAGAGAAGAGAGGAAGCAUUGCAUCAUCUCUUAGAAAAACGCUUCUCAUUUUCUCAAUCGAAGUAGUGCUUGAAAAAUCGGAUGGAUUGGGUGACCCGUCUGUUGAAAAUCUGGUCCAGAUAGGCGAACCAGAACUGUAGAUUGACGAAAUAGACAGGUGUUUUUGUGCGAGAAUCUGUCCCAAAAAAAUUAAAUUAUGGGUAAUUUUUAAAAUAAAAAACAAAAAAUCCGUAGAAACCGGACCAUUUAAAUUUCCAGGUUCCCAUACAAACUGGUUUGGCUCUUUGAUGCACCCCGGUGAAUCCACCUUAUUCGCGGUCCGGAUUGGCAAUUCCCAAUUUAGAGCCAAGGACUCUAGACGCUUGUAUAUCUUCACCGUCCAUUCAAAGCUCUGAUGGCCCAUAUAAGGCCAUACACCCAAGGGAAUUGCCAUCAGCAUGAGCUCACAUCUCACAUGCAACGGUUCAGAUUCAUGUCUCUCUCUUUUCUUAGGCCGGUUUAGAUCAGGGCCGUCCGUUCAAAUAUUGAGAUGCUAUGUGUAGAUAAUUAGAAGAUUUGAAAUGACUCAGUCUUGUGUCCCUUUGUAGAGGUCCCUUCCUUCUUGGAAAGGGGUUGUUGUGGUCUUAAAAAGGAGGCACUGCUUGCAUGGAUGCGUUUACACCGUAGUCAACUUAACGUGUACUUCACCGAGUCAUUUUUCACAAGAGUAAAACAAGUAAGGUGGUAACGGGUCAAGUACGGGUCGGCCUAUUAGUAUUUCGCUCUUGGUUUGGACCUGGACUUGAACCUUUAUAUCUGAAAUUUAGACCCAUACCCUGACCGGUUGGGUCUUUGGUCUACCCUUCACGUUUUGGGUCUAGUCAGGUUUAUUGCCAUCCUAUGACUAUGAGCUUCUUCUUUUUUAUUAACUUUAUUUUAUUAUCAUAUAUCUAUAUUAUUGACAACAUUUGCCGUAUUGCACAAUAUUUAUGAAUGCCACAUAUACCCACAUUAUUUUUAUUGUUUUACGUAAUAAUUGGAAACAAAACAAAUGUAGUGGCAACAUUUAUGAAUACCCAUAUAAUAAAUAUGCCCAUUUUAUUCAGGUAGGGUCCAGUUGGAGCUAGACACAAACCCGAAUAGUGUUGGGUCCAAGUUUUGGACCUGACCUGACCUUUCGGGUCAAGAAUUUGGAUCCAUACUCGAACUCGAGGUUAGAUCUACCCAUCGGGUACUGGGUCUGGUCAGCUCCAUUGCCUACCCUAAAUACAAGGACCUGACAACCGGGCCACCACAGCCUUAGGGCAUGGCAGGGCUAGGCCUGAGUCAGGCCCACAACAGAGCCAACCCGGUUCAACUUGGCUGGCCUAUUUUUUUUACUUAUUAUUUUUCUCUUGAGUUUUUUUUUUUUGCAUUAUACAUGACCCUUGGUCUAGAUAUUGACAUGGCUAGGGUAGAGCCAUAGCUAGGGGCUCCUUAGCUCAGUCAAGGCCCAACAAAGCCAAAGCCGCCCUUGUAGAGACUAGGGCCAACACUAGCCCGGCCCAAGCCCAUUGCCAGCCUUACAUGUUAAGGCAUCAGCUAUUUAUAGAUUUAUCAUUUUACAACUUUUCCAACUCAUGAUCAGGUGCAACAGUUAUGUGGCAAAUUGGUUUCUACCCUUGAUUUUAACAGUUCAAAAAACUCAUGAUCAGGUGUAUUUUGAUAAAACUUUUGAAAUUAAAUUAAUAAUGACAAAAGGUUUAUAGUUCGUGUUGUCAUAAAUGUUCGAAUAAUAGAUAUUUGAAAUAUUUGCCUCCCAUCUUUUUUCCUUUAUGUUAUCUCUUUUUCUUUUCUUUUUUUUUCUGUUUUUCCGGUUUUGUUCCUGUUUUUCCAUUUACUUAGUCAAAUACUGAAUUUCUAGUACAAUGGUAGGGAUUUCAUUUUAUAAAGGUGGUAAUUGCUAUAUAAAAUAUUGGCAUUUAAUUAAGGGGAAAGUGGAGUAAAAACAUUAAACAGAAGGAAAAUAACUAAAUGGAAAAGAAGAUGAUAAGGGAUUGUUUCAAAUUUACCACGAGAUUUACGUGCAUUUCAUGUAUAGGUGCAAUAAGAUAUAAAAUAAUAAUAAAAUAUUCAAACAACAAAAGAGACUAACAAUACCUUUUAUUUAAAAUAUGCAUUAACAAUAUCUUUUACUUAAAAUAUGCAUUACUAUUUAUACUUCCCUGGAAAUUAGGCCAUCAAGCACACAAGAAAGAACAAGAAAAAUAAAUAGAAAAUAACAUUUGAAAAAGAAAACUGGUCAUAAAGGAAUUUAUAUUAAUGAAACCUUUAUUAAAGAGGGAUGGAGAAGGAUGUUCUCCAACGUUCUGUUUCGUCUUGAAAUCUUUGAGAAAACUUAACCAUGUAAUCUUGGGAAGUGGGUAGUUACUUUCUAGCCGUUAGAUAACGACACUUUCUUUCUCUAAGAAGCCUCCAUCUUUUAGUGAUAAGCAUUAAAUUAUAAGAGAGAAAAAUAUUGCGCGUUUAAAAGCCCCAUGGCCACACACACGUACCAACAUUACUUGCAUAGUAUAAGGUUGACACCUUAUAUAAUUUUUUUUCAGUUAAUAACGUAUAUACUUUAAUUUUAUCAAUAAUUUUGAGGUGCACCUUACUUAUACUUUCUAUAAACUUUUUCCCUUUUAUUAAUAAGUUUAGUAUGAGAAAUAAAAUUAAUGUUGGUAACCAUGGGGCUCAUUUUGCUACUCCUAUUCUCAUGGAAAAAUGUCAUGAGUAAGUUAUUACAUGCAUAUCCUUUUAUAAAAUUUAUUCUUAAUAUAAUAUGAGUAAUGAUCCUAUGAGACUCUCCCACAUCUAUGUGUGUAGGAUCUCAAAGGAUCACCAUUAAAUUCAAAUCUCUAGAAAAGUUAUCAUAUGGGUGUGGGACUUGAUUUUUUUAGAGAUCUGUACCAAAUUUAAUGGUGAUCAUUUGGGGUUCUACACACAUAGGUACACGCAUAGAUAUAGGAGGUUCUCACAAGGUCAUUUCCCAUAUAAAUAUUAUAUACAAUUCAUUAUUUUCUAAAUAGUUGUUUAUUUCAUGGUGGCGUCCCUAUUCUUAUAGGAGGGACGUGCCUGUUGAAAAUCGGAAAGUUGGACUCCUAAUCUUUCCUUACAAUUGGGAACGUUAAAGAUAAUGUUUUAUAUAGUGAAAGCACACUAUAUAAAACAGAGCUUUGUGAUAGCAUGCUUCUUUUUCUAAAUUUUUUUAAAAAAUUUGUUAAAAGGUCUAAGCUAUGCGAAUACCAGCUUCACAAAAUCCUCUCUCAAAACUAAGACUUUGGUCCUCAUCCUUACCUUCAAUAUUUGCUUUCAGUGGUGGAUGAGACAGAGAUUAUGCAUGAAAUAUAAGAGGAAUAUAACCAUUGAAAAAAUAUAAGAGGAACCUUAAGAUAGAGUGAUUACUCGUACAAAUUUUAAAAUUAGGAGAGAGAGAAAUUGAAGAAAAAAUUUAUAGGAGGGGGAGAGUGGGAGAUGGAAAGAAAGAUUACUCAAGCAUAAUUGCACAAAAUUCAGGAGAAUUCCUGAGAUGUUUGUAACCACUAUUUUGUGGAAGAGGAAAAGGACAACUAGCACCAAAAUUUAGCAAUAGGUACAAUUUCUUUUGGGUGUGGUUUGCGUAAACUUGAGGGCUAAACAAUCAAAGUAAGGUGCACCUGUUGAAAGACGUUUCAAUACUGUAAAUCUUUGCGAUGGCUUGAAAUUUUAUUUUUAUUUCUAAUUAUAAAAUUUAAAGCUUAAAAUAUAGGGUAGAUCGAGCAGAUCCAUGAACACUUGAAAAACUUGAAAAUUGAUGGCUUGAAAAUGCAUUACAAGAUGUACUAUUUCUUAGACUUGAAAUCCAUUUUUUUAGCAGAUAUAUGAACACUUGAGGUACACUUUCAUUCGAUUGUUUAGAGCCUCACCCUUAUACAAACUUUUUCUAUUUCUUUUAUAUUGUUUUGAAUAUGAGAAGGAUAAAGAAGAUUUUGAUCGAUGUUGAAUUUUGGGGAGGAUAAAAUGAUUACUCUAUUUAUAUAACUAACAAUCUAUUUCUUUUAUUACUAUUCAUAUCCAUCAACAUAUAUGUUCCUAUCCAUUUAUCUAAGGGUACGGUUUCUAUAAGGUUGCAACCUUAAACAAUCCAAUUAAGGUGCAACUCCAAAUUUUAUCGAAAUUUUGUUGUAAAAAAUNNNNNNNNNNNNNNNNNNNNNNNNNNNNNNNNNNNNNNNNNNNNNNNNNNNNNNNNNNNNNNNNNNNNNNNNNNNNNNNNNNNNNNNNNNNNNNNNNNNNNNNNNNNNNNNNNNNNNNNNNNNNNNNNNNNNNNNNNNNNNNNNNNNNNNNNNNNNNNNNNNNNNNNNNNNNNNNNNNNNNNNNNNNNNNNNNNNNNNNNNNNNNNNNNNNNNNNNNNNNNNNNNNNNNNNNNNNNNNNNNNNNNNNNNNNNNNNNNNGUAUUGCAAGAUGCAUUAUUUUUUGGAUUCUAAAUUUUUUUUUUUUCAUAUUCAUACAUCUCGAUGUCGAGAUGAUCAAUUAGAGGGUUUUCAAAAUUAAAACAACAUUUCCGAUAGAUUUUUGAGGUGCAUAUGUAAUUCUACAUUUUAAAGUUGCAACCUUAUGUAAAACUUUGCCCUUUAUCCAAUUGUUAUGUGCGCACCUCCUAUCUCUAGCUCAAUGUAGAUUAUAUGGUCCCACAGGAGCAUGUAUUUUUCCAUGGGAAAGACCUAUAUAGUUGUUUAAAAUUCCAAAUUUUGGUGAUACAAUAUCCUCAAUCUCGCAAAAUAUAUAUAUAUAUAUAACUUAAAUAAUAAUUUUAAUCUUUGAUAAUAUUAAAAAAUGAAUAAGAACGGGGUGAUUCGGCCGAUUUCCUUAUAGACUCCCCUAGUUUUUUUUUGAUAAAACCAAGUGAGUACCCCUAAAUUGGAGUAACUCCAAUCUCAAUUAAAAAAAAAAAAAAAAUCACUUUGUAUAUGCCUAAAAAAACAAUAUUAUAAAAUUGAAGAGACUGUCCAAUUUUUAAAAGGAGAGAUUUAAACAUCUGGGGACUCAAUUUUGUUUUUCUAAAUACUAAUCUAAAGUGGAUCACCUAAGCAAUGUUCUGGAUUGAGUGGCUAGACAAGUCAUCGUUGGAGCUAUUUCGACCACCCAUUUGUACAGGAUUGGUGCAAUUCUCCAAUAUGAAAUACGUCCAACAAAUUUAAAUAAUAAUUUUAAACUUCGAAAAUAUUAAAAAAAAUAGAUCGGAAAUGGGUGAUUCGGCCUAUCUGGAUCUCUUGGUUACUUAACAGACUCCCCUUGUUUUUUGAUAGAACCAAGCAAGUACCCAUGAAUUGGACCAAUUCCAAUCACAAAAAUCAAGAAAUAAAGAAACACUUUGUAUGUGCAGGAGAAAAUAACAUUAUAAGUUUGAAGAGACAACCAAUUCUUUUAGGGUGAGAUUUAAACAUAUGGGGACUUAAUUUUUUUUUUGGAAAAAUAUCUCCAUAUCGUCAUAUUUUUUAAGCUUUAUUUCUUGAUAAACUCAACGUUUCAAAAGACAUAUUUCAACCCCCUGACCACUUUAAACAUAUUUUUUAACCUAAACAAAUGUAAGAUGGACGUGUUCUUUUUAAGCCCAAUCUUUUCUCUCUCUUCAUUUAUAUAUCCCAAACUUCACUUUUUUCUCUCUUUUCAUGUCUCUCACUCUCUCUCUCUCCUCCCAUGUUUCUCCAAAUACAUCACUCUAUCUCCUUCCGAUAACCUCUUACCUCCAUGAAGCCCUUCUCUCUUUAGAAGUUUGGGAUGAUGACUUUUAGAAAAGACAUGUUUUUUUAGAUUUGUUUGGCCAAAAAAAACAGGUUUAAAUCGCUACUCCUAAGUUCUUUUGGGGUAUGGAGGAAGUGUAUAACGUAGUGCCACAUGGGGAAUCAUUUCUAAUAGUAUCCCCUGGACUUUCUAUGUAACCCCACUCACAUAUAUAAUAUAUGUGAACCCUAUUCAGCCUUCAAAUCUGAGUAGAUGACUGAGAUGAUUUGAGUUAUAAUGUCACAAACUAGCUCUUAACCAUUCAAUCUUGAUUGGAUGGUUUUUUUUUAUUAUUCUACAAAUAAUUUUGAAGCAAAAUUUGGGGCAUGCAUAGAUCCGACAAGGUUGCACAUGAUAAAAUUAAUAAAAAACUAUUUAUGGUAAUGAAAAAUUAUCAGAAUACCCCUGAAAAUUUUAAGGGCAUUUUAGUUAUUUUAUAUAUUUUUUAUUUUUUUCCAUAUUCACCUUAAUUUUAUGAUGGGACGCCCAAAAUUUCAUCCAAAAAUGUUUUGUAGAAAAAAACAAAAAAUAAAAAGUGUUUGGUGUGACAUUGUGGUAUGAACAAUCGUAGCCGUUCGAUCUGAAUUGAACGGCUAAAAAAAUGUAAUCACACAAAAUAUGUUGUAUGGUCACACAGAAACAUUUCCCGAGAUUGAAACACUAGUGCCCAUCUGGAUGACCAGCAUUUACCUUGAUGGGCGUAUUAUGAUAGAAUUUUUUUUGCCUAUUGUUAUUAUUAUUAUUAUUAUUUGUUGUGCUUAUAGGGGUGCACAUGCCUAAAAAAAUUUCAUCUCCAUAAAGCUUAUUAAAAAAUAAAAAUAAAUAAGCAUUUCAAUCUACCCAUAUUCGAUUUGGGCCACUAAACUUAAACUAGUCUAGCCUAUAGGGUAAUAUUAAUUUCUCCAUAGAAAAGAUUAAAAUGAGGCCUAUGCUUUAUGAACAAAAAGUAAAGUUUCAUCUCAACAUUGAACAAAAAUUAUAGUUACGACAUCGGAGAACUUUUAAAUCAACCAUCUCAGCCUUAACAAUUAUGGUUGUAAAAAAAACUAAGAUUUCAAGUCCUAAAAUUAGUGUAUAUUAUAACAUAUCAUUUAGACUAUUCAUUUUCUAGGGUUCACAAAGUCCUAAAAUUAGUGUAUGUUAUAACAUAUCAUUUAGACUAUUCAUUUCCAAGUGUUCACAAAUACGUAAGAUCUGUACCAAUUUUUAGCUACAAUUUUUAUAAUUGGUAGUGAAAAUGGGCUUUAGAGCCAUCGUAAGGAUUUACCAUGGCCGGAACAUUUUCCGGACGAGAUUUAGAGGUGAAGCUCUACUUUUUUUUCAUGAGGCCUAGGACUUAUAGAAAUUGUUGCUUGUUUGAUUGGUGGAGGUGGCGGUACUGAAGCCGUCUCUUCUACCAAGUUUGGAAUGAUGGAAUGACAAGCUGCGACCUCGUAAAUUUUCGUGGCUUCCUAAACAGCGCCAUAUUUUUUUAUCUAACAAACACAAAAAUACAAGAAGCCGUGGCUUCCGGUAGUCAAACAUGACCCUUUUUCAAAAGAAAGGGUGGUUAAAAAGCCAGAUGCUCGAAUCCAUAAUAAAAAGGAAAAAACAUUCAUUCAUACUUUCUCUCUCUAUCUAUCUAUCUAUCCGGGCAGGGCAAUUCUCUAAUGAAUAACGAUUCUCCUCUCUCUCCUCUUACAAAAUAUGAAAAACAUAUUUCUCAAUUCUCCACGAUAAACAUUUCUCUAACAAAUAAAUAAAUAAAAAGCAUACACCACUCUCUCUCUCUCUCUCUCUCUCUCUCUCUACUAACUAACUAACNNNNNNNNNNNNNNNNNNNNNNNNNNNNNNNNNNNNNNNNNNNNNNNNNNNNNNNNNNNNNNNNNNNNNNNNNNNNNNNNNNNNNNNNNNNNNNNNNNNNNNNNNNNNNNNNNNNNNNNNNNNNNNNNNNNNNNNNNNNNNNNNNNNNNNNNNNNNNNNNNNNNNNNNNNNNNNNNNNNNNNNNNNNNNNNNNNNNNNNNNNNNNNNNNNNNNNNNNNNNNNNNNNNNNNNNNNNNNNNNNNNNNNNNNNNNNNNNNNNNNNNNNNNNNNNNNNNNNNNNNNNNNNNNNNNNNNNNNNNNNNNNNNNNNNNNNNNNNNNNNNNNNNNNNNNNNNNNNNNNNNNNNNNNNNNNNNNNNNNNNNNNNNNNNNNNNNNNNNNNNNNNNNNNNNNNNNNNNNNNNNNNNNNNNNNNNNNNNNNNNNNNNNNNNNNNNNNNNNNNNNNNNNNNNNNNNNNNNNNNNNNNNNNNNNNNNNNNNNNNNNNNNNNNNNNNNNNNNNNNNNNNNNNNNNNNNNNNNNNNNNNNNNNNNNNNNNNNNNNNNNNNNNNNNNNNNNNNNNNNNNNNNNNNNNNNNNNNNNNNNNNNNNNNNNNNNNNNNNNNNNNNNNNNNNNNNNNNNNNNNNNNNNNNNNNNNNNNNNNNNNNNNNNNNNNNNNNNNNNNNNNNNNNNNNNNNNNNNNNNNNNNNNNNNNNNNNNNNNNNNNNNNNNNNNNNNNNNNNNNNNNNNNNNNNNNNNNNNNNNNNNNNNNNNNNNNNNNNNNNNNNNNNNNNNNNNNNNNNNNNNNNNNNNNNNNNNNNNNNNNNNNNNNNNNNNNNNNNNNNNNNNNNNNNNNNNNNNNNNNNNNNNNNNNNNNNNNNNNNNNNNNNNNNNNNNNNNNNNNNNNNNNNNNNNNNNNNNNNNNNNNNNNNNNNNNNNNNNNNNNNNNNNNNNNNNNNNNNNNNNNNNNNNNNNNNNNNNNNNNNNNNNNNNNNNNNNNNNNNNNNNNNNNNNNNNNNNNNNNNNNNNNNNNNNNNNNNNNNNNNNNNNNNNNNNNNNNNNNNNNNNNNNNNNNNNNNNNNNNNNNNNNNNNNNNNNNNNNNNNNNNNNNNNNNNNNNNNNNNNNNNNNNNNNNNNNNNGAGAGAGAGAGAGAGAGAGAGAGAGAGAGAGAGAGAGAGAGAGGCUCUCUGGAGAGAGGUGUGUUUUGUACCCUUUUGUGUAUGUAUAGACCGACUGGUUCUUGGGGAAUUGUGAGGACAUUGGGGUUAUUACUUGUGAUCUGUGCGGUUUUGGGAUGGUGGGUAUCUCUGGUUAUGGUCUUGGUGUGGUUCUGAUGGGAAUUUAGGGUUUGAUAUAGACCUUGUGGCUUAAUUUGUAAUAAUUUUCCCUUUACUUUUUUCUUUGUGUAUCUUUGGAGACUUAAAACAUAAUUUGUAUAAAUUCACGACAUAGAUGCUAAACUAGACUAUGUUUCCUCAAAUUCCGUUUUUUAGCUGAUUUCCAAUCUUUUUUUUCUUGGUCGGAAACUAGGGUUUUAUUGAGAUCAUUUGGCUGUGUGUGAUAGGGUUUCAUUUGAGAUUAUUUGGCUCUGUAUGAUCAUUAGGGUUUCGUUUGAGAUCAUUUGGCUUUGUAUGAUAAUUAGGGUUUCAUUUGAGUCAUUUGGAUUUUUAUGUUAGAUUAUAUCUCUCUCUUGUAUGAUCUUGGAUGAGUGGUGAGUUGAUUCAUAAGUUGAUUUCUUAAUAAUUAAUUCUGGAUUUUUUUUUAGGUAAGCGGUUAAUUGUGGUUUUCACGGAUACCUUUUUUUUUUUGGUUCUUCUUUUAUCAGUGAGAUGGACUGGUUUCUUGCCUAUGCAUCAAAUGAUUUGGAUCACGCAUUUGAUUUUGAAUUUUCUUAUUUCGUCAAUUUAUCUGUUUUUCCUGGCUUUGGGAACUUAGGGUUUUUGUUGGAGUUCAUUUGAUGAUACUGCUUUGUUUUUUGUAAUGGUGAUCUGGUUCCGAUUUUGAUCUCGUUCUGGCCUCCUCUUAUGUCGACCAGUGAAUCAAACUCAGCGAGUCUGACUUGGAGUCGCCAAGGUUACUCAGACUUGGCAGGCU